AGAAGGGCUUUGUGUGUGUUUUGAUAGUCAAAAAAGAUUUGGACCACCAGUGUACCUUUAUGCACAAUAAAACGAUGUCUUAUGAGGACUGUUGACACUUCAUUUGGUCUUCGGUAAACCCUUAAAGAUUGAAACUUUAUUCUUCGUUAAAUACUAAAACAUCAAAUCCAUUGAGGAAAAUCACUCCUUUUUCCAAUUCUUGAAAGAAUACAUCCACUUGCAUGGGGGCAGGGGAGCUCAAAGACAUUGCAUACCCUAUCUUGUCAUGAAAGUCUGCAGACUCCGGAGGGUGUCUAGGCACUGCUUAAAGCAUCAGUAUCACCUUCGCCAUCAUUCGCGGAUGAGUUGGGUGUAACUACUACUACCAUGUAUCCCCUGGCCCCGGCCGUAAUAUGUAUCAUAAUAUGCUGGUGAAAAGGCAAGUUGCAGCCUCUAUAGCCAGGUGAAUCCUCAUAGAAUCAACCCUUCAUGAGAAAUAACACAGAGUCUGCUCCCGGUGGGCUGUGAUGUAGUGGAUUGGGGAAAGAAAAAAGUGAAACGGUUGAAAGAGUGUGUUGUCGAUUGAGUGGCCAGGAACCUGGGUCACAGACUCUCAACCAUUGCUUGGCUUUCCCACUUCGGUGAUGCCCUAUCAAUAAGAGAAGCGCAACUUGUUAUACAGAGAGAUUCUUUGAGAACAUAACUAACCUGUAAGCAUUGCUAGUGUAAUACUCUGUUGUAUAUCCAAUCACAAGUCCAGCCCACAAGCCAAUGACAACACAAAAGAAAAGGUGCCUGCAGUAACAUGUAAUUCAAUCAAGAAAAUGGAAUGCUACAAAAUGUUCCAUGGGAAAAGGAAAUAGACUUUUUCGGUGGGUAGCGUACCAGUUCUUGACAACCUUCUCGGUUCCGAAAUUGAAGAUAGUGAAUUCUGAUGGCAAAGCAAAGAAGCUGACCAUGGCAAUCCCAACAGUCAUCAGAAUUGUUGAGACAACGAGUUGCCUCUUCAGUGAUGGCUCAAUUUCACUUACAUCCUUGAUCUUGAAGAGAUCGGUUGCAAAAAGUGUAGUUAUCAGGCAAACUACAAUCCCAACUGAGCUUAUAAUCAGUGGAAAAACAUGGCUGUGUAGUCAUGGCUAAUACCAAAGGAUGAUAUAGAUGCAACAAAAAGUGCUGCACAGGAUGAUUCAGCAUAAGAUCCAAAUAGGUCAGAUCCCAUCCCUGCAAUGUCUCCUACAUUGUCACCCACAUUAUCGGCAAUAAACCUGCAUAGAAACCAUAAAUCCAUUGCAACCAAUCGAAGUAAAUAGCAAAGAAGGAUAAGACUUGAUCGUGGUAAUUAGUUAAAGAGAGUGUUAAAGGGGUUCACGGAGAUUACAGCUGGAUUUCUUGGAAUCAUCUCAGGGAUGUUUAGUUCAACUUUUCCAAGAAGGUCAGCACCAACAUCAGCUGCUUUUGUAUAUAUUCCUCCUCCAACUCUUCCAAACAGUGCCAUUGAUGAACCUCCAAGGCCAUAACCAGUAAUGGACUCAUAAAGUCCUUCCCAGUCAUCUCCAUAGUAGAGUUUGAAUAAGAGGAUGGAGAUAUAGAGCACCAAAAGACCAUUCGCAGCAAGAAGGAAACCCAUCACCGCCCCCGAACGAAAAGCUGUAACAAAGGCCUUUCCUACACCCUUCCUUGCUUCUAGAGUUGUCCUGGCGUUGGCAUAGGUUGCAAUCUUCAUGCCUAGGAAUCCUGAGAGGACAGAGGUUGCCCCUGGAAACAGAUCAGGUCAAAUAAAGAUCACAAUCCUCCAAAAAGUUUCAUCAUCAAUGCAAGAACAUGAGAGGCAGCAUCUUAUACUCGUUUAUGCACUUAACCAGAAGCACCAAAAUCCAUCAAAAUAUGGGUCCUAUUUUUAUGUAUCUCAACAGCAUAGACGUUGAAGGAGGAUCUCCCGGGCUUGGAUCCAUCAAGUCCAAAGCUUUAUUAGAAUAUUUCCAUAACUUCCAUGCCUAUGGUAUAACAACGCAAAGUUGCAUCGUUAGGGUGGAGACUAGGAAAGUAACCAAAUAAAAUUCAAGCAGGAAGAAAAAGAAAAAAGGAGUCUAUGAAAGCUGCCCACAUGUCCAAGAAGAUGGAGGGAGUCGCUGUGGCAACUCCUUAAUUUUGUUCAACACCCCCUCAGCAAAACCAGUUAUUCAGGCCCUUUAUGCAAUCAGGGUGACGAGCUGCUUGGAAGGAAGGUAUUGGACUGGCUGUGUCAGUGUUGGCCUGUUGGGCCCAUUUAGCCUACUCAACCGCUUCAAGCCUUCAGCUAAAGGGACCACAUUGCCUUUUCUUUGAAAUAAAAACAAGUACUAGCAUUUAGUUGCAGGUAGAAGGGGACGAUCGCUUUCUUUUCUUCCCAUGCUGUUCUUGUUUCUGCUUUAAUCUCUUAUGCCAGUUUGGUUACAGGGAUUUCCAGCAGUUUCCAUUGCAGGUGACCUUUUCUAGCCUUGGCAACAACAUCUAGUCUGAAUUCUGAUAGAUAUAAGCAAUUGGUGUCUUGAAGAGUUUGUUUGGUGCACAGGCAGCAGUCGAGUUAUCAACAUCUGACGGGCUAAUUAUGUGGUAUUAUAAGAUGAAAUUUGUACUAAAAGGAAAAUGAUUUUUUAAUAUAUUUAAGAUCUGAAUUAAAUGUGUUUUAUGAACACUCGAUUUGAUGUUCAUGUUUCAAUACAACGAGAAUAAUAGGAAAAACUGAAACAAACUAUUGUACGAUUCAAAUUGGAGAACUUAUACAAAGAAGCUUGAUCUACGUUCCAUACUCAUAGCUUCCUCUGAUGAAGUAGCUUCAUGUCCUUUAGACCUCUUGAUGAAAAAACUAUCUCCCAUCUAUCACCGUUAUUGUCAUAUUAUUCGCGGAAGGUACCCCAGAAGAUCUCAUCAAUGGUCUUUGUUCUGCCAUGUUUCUGCCUGCAACAAAAGCAGGUUGCUUAGGUUCUGGGAGAGCCACGUGUUCGUUUACGAUCAUGGAUAUAACAUCAGACAUUGUAGGCCGAUCAGCAGGACUUUCUUGGACACAAAGAAGCCCUAUGUUUAUGUAUCUCAACAGCGUAGCAGUUGAAGGAGGAUCUCCCAGGCUUGGAUCCAUCAAGUCCGAAGCUUUAUUAGAAUUCCAUAACUUCCAUGCCUAUGGUAUAACAACGCAAAUGCUGCAUCAUUAGUGUGGAAACUAGGAAAGUAGUCAAAUACAAAUCAAAAUGGAAGAAAAAGAAAUAAGCGUAUAUGAAAGCUCCCCACAUGUCCAAGAAGAUUGAGGGAGUCGCUGUGGUAGAAACUAGUAUUCUUCCUGCCGCUUACAAUCUCAAGUACCAGCACCCCGAAGCUAAACACAUCAGAUUUUAUGGAGAAGAGGCCCUCCAUAGCAUAUUCAGGGGACAUAUAGCCACUAAAAAUUGGAAAGGUCAGUGCAGAUCAUUUAAGAGUAGCUGGUACUGGAAAGUGGAAUUCAAGAAACUUACUAUGUUCCAACGAUCCUGUUGGUGUUUGCUUGAGUUUCAUUGCCUCCGAAAAUUCGAGCCAUCCCGAAAUCGGAUAUUUUUGGAUUCAUUUCACUGUCUAAUAGAAUGUUGCUAGGCUUUAAAUCCCUGUGAAUGAUUCGUAACCGUGAAUAUCUAUGUAGAUACAGAAGGCCUUGAGCAAUUCCUUCGAUUAUCCGAAUCCGUGUACCCAAUCUAGGAUUUGUCCUCUGUUUGCAUCUGUUUAUAGUUUUACACAAAUCUGAUAUAAAUUUCUUGAAGCAUUUGGAAAGUCAGUGAAAAUUAAUGCAAGAAAAUGCUGACCAAAGAGAAAGAAAUCCAAGCUUUUAUUUGGCAUGUACUCAUAGAUUAGCAUUUUCUCAUCCCGUUCAAUACAGGAACCUAAUAGCCUGACAAGAUUCCGGUGCUGGAGUUUGGCGAUUAGAAUUGUCUCAUUUCUGAACUCUCAGCCCCUGCCCAGAUCUUUCUGAAAGCCUCUUCACUGCUAUUUCCAGUCCCUUAGUAAUUUGCCCUAAUAAAUGAACCGAAAGUCAUUCUGAAAGUCAUUCAAACAUUUUAUUUUUCUUCUGAAAAGGUUAGAAUAAUUAUUUGAACGUAAAUUACUUAUAAACAGGUCCGAAUCCUCCCUCUCCAAGCUUGUCUGAGAAUUGUCCAGUUGCAACUGAUACGCUCUCAUAACUGAACAAUGGCAAUUCCAUAUUCUUACUCCAUCUAUUCUUCCGAUUGUCAACAGAGCUAGAUUCUUGUUAGUUGAGCUAGGAUCCGUAUCGAAAUCAAAGAGCAACAAAUUGUGGCUGUUAUUCCUUCCCUGUUCAAGAAAAAUUAAAAAUUACUGAACCAAUCACUUUGUUAAAAUAUCCAGCAAUUCUGAUUAUAUCAACCAAAAAUGUAACCACUUCAGGUUAUAAUAACCACAAUUUCCGACAUUAAAAGGGAUUCCAAUUGUCAAUUUCUGUCAUGAAAAAAGAAACUUUGGUGUUUGAUAUUUUACCCACAGACAACCUUUUACGUUUUGAACAUUUUAUAUUAGAAGUUUUUCGGAGAUGUGUUGGUUUACAGGAGACAAACACACGAAAAUCAGAUUUCAGUUAAAUUUUUUAGGCCGUCUUCAAUUCAAAAACAUGUCUUAACAAAAUUAACUUAUCAUCUUCAUACCCAACACAAAAUUUUGGAGGAGGAGGGUCUUUUUUUACUUUUUAUUACAGUGUCAUAACCUAAUUUUUAAUUUUUUUUUAAUUUUAUUUUUUAAAAAAUAAUAAUAAAAUAAACGAUGAUAAAAAAAUGAAAAAAUAAAUGAAAUGAAGAAAAUGAAAAAAUGAAUGAAAUAGAAAAAAAUGAAAUGAAUGAAGAAUAAAUCGAAAUUUAGGUACAGACAAUAUAAAUUAGAAGUUUGAGAACUUAAUUAAACUUUAAAUUACUUUAUUAAUCAAAUCAAAAGCUUAAUUAAAUACUUAAUAAGUUUGGGGACUUAAUUUAACUUGAAAUUAGUUUAAUUAAAUAAGGGGCUUAAUUGAAUAAAUACUAAAAUAUGGGGUUGAUUUGGGUCAAAAUUACAAAAUGAAAGUUCAAAAACUAAAGAGAAAAGAAGGGGGUACUGUAUGGAGCUUAAUUAUUUUUUGCAGGGGUAAUUUUGAAAACAUAAAAAGUUGAAGAGUCAAUUAAAGACUGAAUUGAAAAAGUCAGAAAUCAAGGACUUUUCUGUGAAAGGCUACAAAUUAUAGGGGUCCAAUUACAAUUUAUCUAGGGACUUGGAUACACAGUUUCAUAAAUUGAGUGACCAAAAUGAGAAUGGCCAUUCCCAUCCGGAACAUCUGGAAGGAGAAACGGCAGCAAAUCAACGGAAGCCUGCCAGCUGCCCCACGAUGCCUGCCGUUACAAGAAAACCAGAGAAGCACAGGAUAGAGAGAGAGAGAGAGAGAACCAGAGACACAGACAUGGAGGAACAAACAGGGCGAACCAACACGGAAACAGGGACGCAAAACACAAAAGAAAACAGAGAGGAAACCAGAAGAACAAGCAAACACAGAGACGACAAAAAAAGAAGAACGAAUAACACAGAGACGAGACGAAGCACUGAUCUUCUUCCAGAACUCCAGCAACAAAACACCACCUCCAGGUAAGGUCCUUUCGUUUCCCUCCCUUUAGAAAUAAUUACCCUGUCACUGUGCAACGCAUACGUGAAUAAUUAUGCACAGUGAUUCGGGGUCAUCUUUUUUAUUUGGUUGGUUUUUAUUAAAAUAAUAAUAAUAAUAAUAAUAAUAACUAAACUGAAAUUUUUUUUUUUAAAAUAAAAACCGGUUCAAACCGACCAGUUUCGAUUUGAUUCGGUUUAUUAGGACAAAACUAGUUCAAACCGGUUUGAUUCGGUUUUUUCCAGUUUGGCUCGGUUCUUUUUGUUUUAGCUCGUUUUUUUCCUAUUUGUCUUGGUUUUUUCUAGUUUUUUUCGGUUUAGGUUCGAUUCGGGCCGGGUUGAUUAAGUUCAGUUCAUACGAGCUAAGCUGGAUCUAGGAAAAUAAAAAAAACUAGGGUCAGGCUAGACUUUGGCUUCAACCCAUCCAGUCCAAUUUGUUUUUUUAUUUUAUUUUAUUUAUUUGUUUUGAUAUUUGGUCAAACAGACUUCCUUUUUAUAUUAGAAAAUUUUUAAAAAAUUUAUGGAACUUUUUUAAUUUAUUUGUAGGUCCCUCGAGUAUUUGUUUUCCUAACAAUUUCAUUAUAUAUUUAAUUUGUUGAUUUUUACUGUUAAAUACAGAUUUUGUAUACGAUACAUACUUGUUUUUUUUUUUUUUUACAAAAAUAAUAACAAAAAAAAAUAUUUUUUGUUUUCAAUUCAAAUUUUACUGGUUUAUUCACUGAGACUAGAGUUAGGAAUACUAUAUAUGUUUUAGCUGCGAAAUAUUUACCAAUACCAAAAUUGAAAUAUAUCCGUAGUUGAAUAUUUAUUUAUGCUAAAAUCAUGAAUAAUAAAAGUAAACUAUCGAUAAUAUAGUAUAACAAACUUUAAUAAUUUAAAAUAAAAUUAGCAAUGAAAUCUAUUUUAGGUAGAAUGUUAAAAAAGUGAUAAUAUUUUUUUUUUUGCAAAUAGUUUCAUAUUAAAAAGUUUUUAUUGAUCAGUUAGAAUUUUUAGUAAUUAUAAUAAUAAUAGACAAGAAUUUUUUUUAAAUCUAAAAUGUAAAAUGUCAAAAAACAUGUUCUUUUCUGCAAAUUAAAAUUUUAAAAGUUACCAUAUCGAUACGAUAACCAGUAACUUCAAGAUUUAAGUAAAUAAAGUCUACCAGCAGACAACGGAAAUUAAAGAAAGAACCAGGAUGCACCUCUGUGUAUGAGCUUUCCUUUGCGCAGACAUCUGAAGUACAUGAAGAGGCCGAAGGUAAUCAGAGUAGUUGGAAUAGCCACAGCCAAGGUUGUCCGUAUUGUCCUUUUGAUAUUACCUACUUGUAAAUAUAGAUCAAAUAUUACAAAAUCAUAAACCAACACCUGUACACUGGAUUAAGAAGUUUUUUUAUUGUAGAAAAAAUGGAAAGAUAGGUUAUGUCAGGGAACACUGCGUAUGCGUUUUUAUCUGAAAAUACAAGACCGUGAUUUUGUCAAAAAUGGUUUCUCAUCAUUUAUUUAUCUGAAAAUACAAGACCGUGAUACUGUCUAUAUGUACAAAGCCAUACCUGUUCGGGUACUGCCAUUACCAAGUCUGAUGUAAAUUUCUGCUCCAGCCUGGCCAUCAGCAACCCCUGAAUUUUGUUGUAAGUUUAUAAUAUCUCCUUCCCAUAAAGAACACCCACUUUCUGAUAUGUUAUAGGCAUAAGCCACGCAAGAACAAUUUUCCAAGCAAUCCAAUCUACAUCUUUCAGCACUCACUUUCUGAUAUGUUUUUGAAUUUGCAGGUAAUGUCAGAUUCGAAAUCUUUAGGAAUCCAUCUUCCUUUCCAGCACUUCUCUUAUUUUGACACUUCAAAGGAGAUUUCCUAACACAACCACUUGACCAAUCAUUUUGCACUAAUGGUUUAAAACCUUUCAGGCAUUCACAAUAGCUCGAUGAAUUGUCAUUAAAGACUCCAAAAGCCCCACAUAAACCAUAAACUUCAGCUUGGUCCCUUGGUUGAGCCCAAACAAGAGACCAAUUCCAAACACCUUCCGACCAAGAGAGUUGUUGAAUCUGUCCUAAAUCAUCAAUCACGGUUCUUGAAAGAAUUGAGGUAUCGUGCAAAGAAUAGGUGAAAUAGCUUUCAUUUUCAUUUGAUACAUAACUAUAAUUCAAAAUAUUGUUCAAACUCAUCACAGGUACCAAGACAAAUAUUUCUCCAUUCCAAUUACCACUGCUCCAAUACAUGUGCGACCUGUUCCACUCUAUGAAAAGCUGACUGCUUCCAUUUGGGUCGAUCCCAAUCGAGAACAUACCUGGUGCAGGGUCUUCCGCGUUUUUCCAGGAAAUAAGCCGCUGCACUUGCCCAGUGUGCUUGUUGAUCCCAAGCUUUCCACCAGGUAGCCAUGUGUCAGUUGGAUAAUCGAAACUCUGCCAAUAUAUGGUUGCUGGAUUUGAGCCAUCUCUUACGACAAAGUUUCCAUCAUCAAGAAGUACUGCUUCUGCUGUACUAGUAUUCGACAUUGAAGAUGCAAGAUCUGUUGACCAAAUUGUGUUGGUGAAAUCCAUCAGCAGGACAAGAUUGCCAUCAGCUGACAAUUCAAGCUUCGAUGAAACUGGGUCGUUUGAAGGGCUCUCCCUGUUUGCUACCCAAACAUAUAUCUUAUCUGCGGAGUGCUUAUACCAUAUUCCCAGGUACAUGCUUGAAAAAGCGCCUGGCUGGAAGAAACCGAGUUCAAAAGCGCCGUUUUGAGAUAUUAGGGUCUCGCUGGCAGAGAGAGAUUGGCCAACCAAAAGGGUAUCACCUACAAUGGAGAAGCAAGUCCUAUGGGAAACGAAUAGCAACAACAGCACAAAGAGCAAAAAACGUGGCUUUGUCUCAACACACAUCCUUUCUAAUUCGUGGGAUUAAGGGUGAAAGAGCUGUGACUGAGCAUGAAUCAGAGAACGAGGAAGGGAAAAAAGCAAGAAAUCCCUUGUGAAUUCAUCAACUAUAUGAUAAUGCUCUAGAUCUCUUGUCAUAUUGUAGCUGUCAGCUCUUACCAAUAAUUUUCCACAUUGACUGACUUUUCGGUUCUCGCUAUCUCCUCCAGUUAGAGGCUAUGUCAUGUUUUUUUGUUUUUAUUAUUUUAAUGAGUUGAUAUUUAAAAUAAUUUUUUAAAAAUAAAAAAUAUUAUAUUAAUAUAUUUUCGAGUAAAAUUUUUUUUUUUAAAAAAUUAUUAAUUUUAUUUUUCUCAUUGCCUAUUUUAAUUUAUUACUCUUUGUUUGUUUUUAAGAGGAUUUUUUUGACUAAACAAUUACCACAGUAAUAGUAGACUUGAAAUGUCUAUUAAUAAUUAAUAAAGUUUCAUUCUAUAUUCUUUGGGUGCAUAUUAGGAUUUAGGACUAUUAUUAAUUACAGUCCAUUUCAAAGUCAAAGAUGAAUACAUGUAGUCUACGCCAUAUUUGGUGAGAAAUUUAUAAGAAGAUAAAUCUUUCUAAAAUUCUUUUAAAAAAAUUGGCGAUUUAAAUUUUAAAUCAGUUAGGAAUCAUAAUUCUAAUAUUUCAUAAUCUAUUUUAUAUAUAUAUUCCGUGCUGUCGAUAUACUAAAAUAAAAACUAAGUUUAUGAAAAGAUCAAAGAGAUAUAUUAUAUAAUAUAAACAGAAUGUAAAUAAUAAUAAUAAUAAUAAUAGUAAUAAUAAUAAUAAAAAUAAUAAAAGAAGAAGAAGAAGAAGCAGAAGAAAUUAAUGAGAACUUUGAGAUGGAAGAUUAAUGUAAGGAUUAAACAAUGAUAAAAACAAAUGUCAAGGUUAGAGGAUCCACCAAUGGUAUUUCAAACAAGUAUAAUAUAAACUCUUAUUACUCAAUUUGGAAACCACACACAAAGGAGGUUCCAAUCGGAUAAUUUCUCAUUAAUAGCUCAUUAUAAAUUAUUAACAUGAUCAUAUUAAUUAUCUUAAUUACAUAACACCAAACUUUUAAAUAUUGUCAGGAAUUCAUGAUAUUAACUGAUGUUAACAACAAAUCAAGUUAUUUUCAUAGCCCAGGUGUAGGUAAUACCAUACUGUUGGGCUAUGAGAGUGCCAAGCAUUUGAUGUACCAAAUGUUAUACAACACAAAUCUAGAUUAACCAUUUAACAAGCAAGGUAUUAAGAAUUAGUAAGAUAAAAAGAUAAGACAUGUUAAUAUUAAACAUUAAGAUCCAUAUUGAGUUUACACCAUACUUGUUCUUACACCAUUAGUGUAACCCUUUCACCUUGACAUAAUAAACUUAGCUAAACAUAAUGAAGAAGAGAAACAUAAAUAAACAAAACAAGAACAUAAAUAAGAUACAAGUUAACUAAGAAAAGGAAAGGAAAUGAAAAGCAUAAACAAGAAAUUAAUGAAAGCAAAACUUAAAAAUUACAAAAAAAUAUAAAGAGAGAAAUAAAGAGCAUGAGCUUGAUCUGAACAACCAAGCCCCCAAAUACAUGGCAAAUGCCUCUUUUUAUAGGCCAAAAUUCGGAAUUAUUGAUUUGAUGAAUAAUUGUUGAGUGGGUGGCCAACUUUUGACUUGGUGAAAAUCCUUAUCUUCUUGUCUGAAUAAAACAAAAAUGCUACCAUCUGAACUGGGUCCUCUGGAAAACAUAAAAGUUGUAGGAAAUUGACUCAGCUUUCUAGGAAAAAAAAAUGGAGGUGAUUUGGACUUCUAGAACUCCAGAUAUGGUCCAAACACUGAACAGUGUUUGGGCUGCAGGACAGAUUCGGACUUCUCCGUUGUUGCUAUGAUAUGGACUUGAAAACGGCCUUGUUAGAUUUUUAUGUUCACAUGAAAGUUGUAGGCCUAUGUCUCACCAAGUGUGUGUAAACAUUUGAGAUUAUUUGGACAUCUAAAACUCGAGAUAUGACACAAAUACCAAAUAGUGUUCCAGUUUGGACUGCACCAACAUCUCUUUUCUAAGUUUCACCCUCUCUUUAUCUUCAUAAAUUUCAGUAGUUCAAUUCAUCAAUCAAUCCUUUGAUUUAUGUGAUAGGCCUGCAUUUAAGAUGAACAUUUACCAUAUAUUAGGGUAUUUUAUAGUAUUUGACUUGUUAUUAUAAAACAUGCUUUAGUUAAGGAGUUAUUGAUACUUUAAGUGCAAAAUGAUGAUAUAAAACCUUGAUAAAUAUGCACUUUUAAGUACUAAUCAAGGAGCUCAACCGACAGGUCCAACAGCUAAUGGUUAGAGGAUUCAUCCGAGAGAGCCUUAGUCCCUGUGCAGUUCCAAUACUGCUCACACCAAAAAAAUAUGGAAGCUGGAGGAUGUGUGUCGACAGUCGAGCAAUUAAUAAAAUAACAGUCAAAUACCAAUUCCCAAUCCCCCAGCUGGAUGACAUGUUGGACUUACUAAACGGCGCCUGUAUUUUUACCAAAAUUGAUCUACGUAACGGAUAUCAUCAAAUUCGCAUUCGUCCUAGAGACGAAUGGAAGACAACAUUCAAAACAAAAGAGGGGCUAUUUGAAUGGCUAGUCAUGCCUUUCGGAUUAACCAAUGCACCAAGCACCUUCAUGCGUGUUAUGACACAAAUUCUCAAACCAUUCCUGGGAAAAUGUGUUAUGGUAUACUUUGAUGAUAUCUUAAUUUUCAGCAAUUGUUUGCAGGAUCACUUAACACAUGUGGAGCAAGUCUUAACAACAUUACAAGCAGAGCAACUCUAUAUUAAUCAUGCCAAAUGUUCAUUCCUGAAGAUGAAAGUCUAUUUUCUAGGCUUUAUCAUUUCCAGCAAAGGUGUUGAAGUGGAUCCCGCAAAAAUACAAGUCAUUCAAAAUUGGCCAACACCUCAAAAUGUCUCUGAGGUCUGUAGCUUUCAUGGCCUAGCUACAUUUUAUCGGCGUUUUAUCCGUAAUUUUCAGCACUAUCAUGGCCCCAAUAACCGAAUGCCUAAAGGGUACCAAUUUCAAAUGGACAACAACAACAAACAAAGCCUUUGUUGACAUCAAGGAUAAGCUGGGGAAUGCACCAAUACUAAGACUCCCUGAUUUCUCCAAACUCUUUGAAGUCGCUUGUGAUGCUUCACAUAUAGGAAUCGGGGGGGUUCUAAGUCAAGAAGGACAUCCAAUCGCUUUUUAUGGCGAAAAGCUCAAUGAUACUCGUCAGAGAUAUUCAACAUACGACAUGGAAUUUUAUGCCUUGAUUCAGACAAUUAAACAUUGGCGUCCAUACCUGAUCCAUAGAGAAUUUAUCCUUUACACAGAUCAUGACUCUUUGAAACACCUUGGCUCUCAAAGCAAACUCAACCCAAGGCAUUCUCGUUGGACAACAUAUCUGCAACAAUUUGAUUUCAUCAUCAAACACAAAGCAGGGACAGAAAAUAAAGUGGCUGACGCACUAAGUCGACGACCCCACCUGUUACAAAUGUUCUCAGCUCAUGCUAAUGGCUUUGAAGAAAUUAAGACUCAAUACACUGAUGAUGAUGAUUUUGGCAAAAUAUGGAGCAAUUUACAAGCCAAAAUCACGAUCACUGGAGGAGACUAUUCACUGAAGGAUGAUUACUUAUUUUGUGGUACUAGGCUCUGCAUCCCCAAAGGAUCACUCCGUGACUUCAUCAUCACCGAACUCCAUAGUGGUGGAUUGGCCGGACAUUUUGGCUAUGACAGGACAUAUGCCAUAGUUGCUGAUCGGUUCUACUGGCCUCGAAUGCGUAAAGAUGUGCACAAAGUGGUUGAUAGGUGCAAGAUUUGUCAACUAAACAAAGGAACUAAAAACGAAGCUGGACUCUACACACCCCUCCCAAUCCCAGACCACCCAUGGCAGCAUAUUAGCAUGGACUUUGUUCUCGGAUUGCCCAGGACUGUGCGACAAAAUGAUUCAGUUAUGGUAGUAGUUGAUAGAUUCUCAAAAAUGGCUCAUUUCAUCCCCUGCAACAAGACCUUUGAUGCAUCCAAGGUAGCAGUUUUAUUCUUACAAGAGGUGAUCAUACUACAUGGUGUACCCCUCUCCAUUGUGUCUGACAGAGAUGUCAAAUUUGUUAGCUAUUUUGGAAGACUUUAUGGUCAAAAAUGGGGACAAAGUUAAAGUUUUCCAGUGCAUUCCACCCACAGACAGAUGGCCAGACUGAAGUCCUCAACAGAAGUUUGGGAAACCUGCUACGCUGCCUCAUUGCAGAUCAUGCAACCAGCUGGGACCUUGUGCUCCCACAAGCAGAGUUUGCUAUUAAUAAUUCUGUUAAUAGAUCUACAGGACACACACCAUUUAAAGUAGUAUAUGGGAGACGACCCAACACCCCCAUGGAUCUUAAACCAAUACCCUUGCCUCCGAGACCAAGUGAAGCUGGCUUGGAUUUUUCAGAAUACAUAAGAGAUGUUCAUGCAGAGGUCAAAAGACGUCUGUCACUUAAUAUUGAAGCAUACGCCGCCUCUGCCAAUGUUAGGCGCAAGGACAGACAAUUUCAUAGUGGUGACAUGGUGCUGGUUCGUCUAAAACCAGAAAGAUUUCCUUCAGGAAGUUUCUCUAAACUACACGCACGUCGUGCGGGUCCUUUUCGUAUUAUUAAGAAAUUAGGCAACAAUGCCUAUGUCAUAGACUUACCUUCUGAAUUUGGCAUUAGUCUAGUUUUCAACAUUGAAGACAUUACUGCCUUUAAAAGUGAUGAAGAUGUUUCAAGUCAUACUUCCAGAACAAAGGAAAUGCCAGCGUGCCUUCCUAAAGUCUCUACAACCACCAACACCGACAUGCCUCCAUUGCCUCAAUCAUGGAUCACCAGUUCGUUUCUACGCUUCGCGGGGGAUAUUACAAAUUCUUAGUCCACUGGCGACAUCGACCCCUAUCCGACUCUGCAUGGGUCAAAGGUACUGAGCUUCAGCGUCUGCACCCAGUUGUUUACUGCAUAUGUUCACCAUAACUCGCCAGAGUCAAGUUCUUCAGAGGAGUUAGCAAUUGAUGCAAAUCAGGAGGAGACAGAGGAAGGAACCCUGUAACACACAAAGACUAAUGGAAGACAGAAACAUGGGAAACCAAGGAAUCGUGAAAGCUGAUUAAAAGCUUACUAGCUGUUAUGAUUUCCUAGUCUAGCUGUAGUUAUUAUUUUCCUAGUUAGCUGGCAGUUUCCUAGUUAGACUAGGAUUAGAGUUCAAAUACGUAUUAGAUUAUAAUUCAUUAAAUAGAGGGUAUUUAAGAGGAGAACAUAACAUAAGAAAUGACAGUUUUGUAAUCAAGCAAUUUGCUAUUCUUAAAUACAAAUUCUGGAGUGAUUCCUCUACAAAGAGAUUCUGCAUUAGAUUGUUGUUCUUAUUGCAAGCAACGAGAGGUUGCAGCAGAGAGCAAUUACACCAUAUAAGGCAUUGAAGAAAGAUAAAUUUAGAUUUUUUGAGUCAUGUAUUAUAUGCUCUUAGUUUUUAUUUUUUUUGUUUUCAUUUUAUUUUAAAAAACGCAUCGAGGAAGAGUAGAAAAAGAGAAAGGGGGUGUUCAAUAAUGAGUUGCAUAUUUGUUUUUAUGGCUGAAAUAAUUUUUUUGAAAUAAUGUUUUUUAAAUCAUUUUAAUAUCUUUGUAUCCAAAAUAAAUUUUAAAAAAUAAAAAAUAUUUUAUUAAUAUAUUUCCUAAUAAAAAUUAAUCACUUUUGAAAACAAUUAUUAAUUUUAUUUUUCUCAUUGCCUAUUUUAAUUUAUUACUCUUUGUUUGUUUUUUAAGAGGAUUUUUUCAUUAAACAAUUACCACAGUAAUAGUAGACUUGAAAUGUCUAUUAAUAAUUAAUAAAGUUUCAUUCUAUUCUUUGGGUGCCUAUUAGGAUUUAGGACUAUUUUAAUUACAGUCCAUUUCAAAGUCAAAGAUGAAUACAUGUAGUCUACGCCAUAUUUGGUGAGAAAUAUAUAAGAAGAUAAAUCUUUCUAAAAUUCUUUUAAAAAAAUUGGCGAUUUAAAUUUUAAAUCAGUUAGGAAUCAUAAUUCUAAUAUUUCAUAAUCUAUUUUAUAUAUAUAUUCCGUGCUGUCGAUAUACUAAAAUAAAUAUUUGCGGAAGUCCAAAACUAUCUCUAUCAAAACAGGACCAACCCAUCACACACUCACCUUUGAAAAUCAAUUUACUGUAAAAUUUAGCUGAUGCCAAUACGGAGAAUCCAUCAAAAUCCCAUUUUAGCUUCUGCAUUAUCAAAUAUAUAAUAAAGCAUCCAAAAACAAUUUAAGAUUAACAUAUAAGAAAAUCAUAAUGCUCAUUUCAAUUGUAUAAAACCCCAUCAGACAGAAUUUCUCUUUUGAUGAAUGGACGAUUUUCAUUUAUCAAAGAACGACUUAACAGGAAAUCAAGUUCUACUUACAGACAGAGAAUCUUGUAUAAGUUUUUUUCUACGCGUUCUUGUUAACCCAGUUCAAAAAUGUCGUUUUCAAAUAUUAAUGUCUGUCUUCCAGAGAGAGACUGGCCACUCAAAAGGAUAUCAGCUCCAAUGGAAAAGCAAGUCUUGUGAGAAACGAAUAGCAACAAUAGCACAAAAAGCAAGAAACCUGGCUUUGUCACGUCGCGCCUCCUCUUUAAUUCGUGGGAUUAAUGGUGUUUGAACAAAAACUCCCCUUUGAAUUUAGCAACUAUGAGAAUACUCUGUCUCUAACAUAUUGUUGCUAUCAGCUUUCCCUAUAAUUUUCGACGUUGACUUGGACUUCACGUUCGCACUAUCCCCUCCAAUUUAAGGCUUUGGCAUUGUAUUUUUCGAGUCACGUUAUCAAUAAUAUACUGCAUGAAAGAAAGGGAAAUUUAGAUUUUUCAAAGCCAAAAACUUAUAAUGAGAAAUUCUAUAUAGUAUAAUUUAAUUAGUGUAUUGUAUGUUUUUUUUUUUAAAUACAAUAAUGAUCAUUGGUGCUCCAGGGUGUUAUAAAUUAUUUAUUUUUGAAAACAAUUGAAGAGGAGAAAAUAAGGGAGUGUUCAGUAAUAGAAAAUAUUUUAUUGGAUAAAUUAUUCUUUUCUUAUUCGUUUAUUUUUUUACUAAAAUAUUUUUUUAUUAGUAGCAUGUUUCUUCUUCUUCUUUUUAUUUGAGAAAAGCCCCUUUGUUUUUUAAUUCUGGUCCUUUUCUUUUAUUUUUUUAAUACUAUAAAUUUAAAUACUGUUUCAUUAAAUCAGUCUGUAAUUUAAUUCUGAAAUUCAAGCAAACGCCUUAAUUUUCAAGUAUUUCAAAACAAAAAAAGAAAAUAUCAACACAAAAUAUCACAAACAACGUGUGAAAAUAUAUAAUUGAAAAAAAGAAAUCAUUUAUUAAAACAUAAAAUAAAAAGAAAAUGGGUCUGUCAUCCACAAUGCAUUGUGAAAGGAUACAUGUAGGCUGUCGUAUGUGCAAGAAUUUCAAAGUGCAAUUGAAAAAAAGUUUACACUUUCUUGUCGUUACAAUUUUCUUUCGUUAGAAAAGAAAUUUACUGUCAAAUUUAGCUUAAUGCCAGUACUGCGAAUCCAUCAGAACGCCUUCUAGCUCUUGCAUUAUCAAACAUCUAAUAAAGCAUCCAAAAACCAUCUAAGAUUAACAUAUAAGAAAAUAGCAAUGGUCAUUUCAAUUCUAUAAAAACCCCAUCAGAGACAAUAUUUUUCUUUCAUUUAUCGAAGAACAACUUAACAGGAAAAUCCUACUUCCAAUCAGAGAAUCUUGUAUAAGUAAAGAAAAAAACAAGCAAACAGACUUAGUACUGUCAAAUAUCUAGUGGCAACUCCUUAAUUUUGUUCCUCAAUAAAUGUAACUGCACCAGGCAAUCUUCAAAAUGACAGCACUCCUUCUCCAGCAAAACCUGUUAUUCAGGCCCUCUAUGCAAUCAGGGUGACGAGCUGCUUGGAAGGAAGGAAGGUAUUGGACUAUCUCUUGAUGAAAAAUGAGACACACAAGAAUUUAUGUGGUUCACCCAAUUAGGCUACGUCCACGGGCAAGUAUAGAAGGAUUUUACUAGUAAUGUGGGAAUUACAACCUCUCUCAGAUAAUAGGAGAACAACUAGAAUCUCUCUAUUACUAGGAGAAAACACCUCACUUACUCUCUCACAAAUACCUCACAACUUAGUGGGAUUACACUCUCUUCACUCUACUCUUCUUCUCUCUUCCUUGGUGUGCAUAUAAUGCUUGGAUGCAUUGCCUAUUUAUAGGCAAGCAUCCAUGCAAGAGCAAGUGGCCAAGUUGGCCAAGUUGGCAAGUGGCCAAGUGGCGAACUAUCUUCACAUUCUCCCACUUGAAGACUUUGAUGAUUUAAUCAAGUCUUCACACUUGAUCAUUUGUGAUUCUUCUAUCCUUUCAAUACUUGCCAUCUUCAUGCUGCUUACGUUUCUGCUAGGCCAUAAGAGGAUCUGCACCAUAUAUACUUAUCAGUGUUGACUGGUUUGGUCAAAGCAUCUGCUGGGUUUUCCUUUGUGUGAACCUUCUGAAAAUCCACACUUCCAUCUUCCACCACUUCGCGAACAAAGUGAUACUGAACAUCUAUAUGUUUUGUUCUUGAAUGAAACGCUGGAUUCCUUGCAAUAUGCAAGGCACUCUGACUAUCACAAUACAAAAGAAUCUUCUCUUGUUUGUGCCCGAGCUCCUCCAUAAGUUUCUUCAUCCAUAUUGCUUCUUUACAAGCUUGUGUAGCUGCCAUAUACUCAGCUUCUGUUGUGGAUAACGCUACAACAGUCUGAAGUUUAGAGACCCAGCUCACAGCUCCUCCUGCAAUUAUGAACACAUAGCCUGUAGUGGAUUUUCUUUUCUCAAGGUCACCAGCAAAAUCUGAGUCAACAUAACCUCUGAAGUAAUUCUGAUCCUCCAUAACAUAAUGCGGCAUCUGAGGUACCCUUGAUGUAUCUCAAGAUCCUCUUGAUAGUAUUCCAAUGCUCUCUACCAGGAUUUGCCAUAUAUCGACUAGCUGCUCCCACUGCUUGUGCAAUGUCUGGUCUUGUACAUAUCAUGGCAAACAUUAAACUUCCCACUGCUGAUGCAUACGGUACUCGAGACAUCUCCAUCCUCUCUGCUUCAUUGCUAGGAGACAUACUUGAGGAUAAUUUGAAGUUAAUAGGAAGUGGGGUGGAAAUUGGCUUACAAUCUUGCAUGUUGAAGCGUCGCAAGAUUUUCUUUAAAUAAUUCUUCUGAGAAAGCCAAAUCUUCCUCUUACUUCUGUCUCGGUGAAUUUGCAUCCCUAGAAUCUUGUUUGCUGGUCCCAAGUCCUUCAUAUCAAACUCCCUAGCCAACUGUGCCUUCAAUUCUUGGACUCGAUCUUUGUUGGGGCCUAUUACCAACAUGUCAUCCACGUACAACAACAGAAUGAUGAAAACAUCAUUUUCUUCAAACCUCUUGUAAUACGUACAAUGGUCUGAACUGAGUCUGUUGUACCCAAGGCUAAUUAUGAAGGAAUCAAAUCUCUUGUACCAACACCUCGGCGCCUGUUUGAGACCGUAUAGAGAUUUGUUCAACCUGCAAACCAAGUUCUCCUUGCCUGUUUCAGCAAAACCCUCUGGUUGGAGCAUAUAAAUUUCUUCUUCAAGUUCUCCAUGAAGAAAUGCAGUUUUCACAUCUAACUGCUCUAAGUGAAGAUCAAAUAUAGCACACAUUGCCAAGACUACUCUGAUUGUAGUAAGUCGUACCACCGGAGAAAAUAUCUCAUUAAAGUCUAUUCCUUCUUUCUGAGCAUAUCCUUUCACCACCAAUCUUGCACGAUACCGCUCCACUUGAUCAUUGCCAUCACGCUUUAUCUUGUAAACCCAUUUGUUGCCAAUGGCCUUUCUUCCUUGUGGUAGCGGAACAAGAUCCCAAGUGUUAUUCUUGUGCAGAGCUUCAAUCUCCUCUUGCAUUGCUGUCAUCCACAUAGAUACAUCUGUGCUUUUGAUAGCCUCAUGGAAAGUUGAUGGCUCUCCAUCCUCUGUUAGAAGACAGUAUGCAAUGUUGCUCUCAGUAACAUAUUCUGAGUGCCAAGCCGGUGGUCUUCUUUCACGAGUUGACCGUCGAACUUCAGGAGUUUCAGACUCUAUUUGUUCUUGUUCUUCAUGCUCUGGUGCAGCUUCAGAAGAAGUAUGAUUCUGAGUAUUUUCCAUCUGGACUUCUGUAGUCUCCUUUAAAAUGCUAUUAUUUUCUUCCAUUUGCAUUUUAUCUUCUGCAAAUAUGACAUCUCUGCUGAUGACUACCUUGUGGGCAGUGGGAUCCCACAAGCGAUACCCCUUCACUCCAUCAGCAUAUCCCAAGAAUACACAUUUUCUGGAUUUUGAAUCCAGCUUGCUGACUUCUUGAGUAUUGUACAUCACGUACACAGGACUUCCAAAUAUAUGCAAUCGAGAAUAAUCAGCUGGCUUUCCAGUCCACAUCUCCAUCGGUGUCUUCAACUCAAUUGCAGUUGACGGAGAUCGAUUUAUCACAUAACAGGCGGUAUUGACUGCUUCUGCCCAGAAUGACUUUUCUAGACCUGCAGCCUUCAACAUUGCUCUUGUUCUUUCCAAUAGAGUUCUGUUCAUCCGCUCUGCCACUCCAUUUUGUUGUGGAGUGUAUGCCGUUGUGAACUGCCUUUUGAUACCUUCAUGUUGACAGAAGUUAUCAAAUUCAUCACUGGUAUAUUCUCCUCCAUUGUCAGUCCUCAAACACUUGAUCUUCUUUUCAGAUUCAAGUUCUACCCGCGCUUUGAAGGUUUUAAAAACUGCGAACACAUCUGCCUUCCUUCUAAUCGGAUACACCCAACAUCUCCUGGAGAAGUCAUCUAUGAAUGAUACAAAGUAUCUUGCUCCUCCCAAGGAUACAACCGGUGCUUGCCAAACAUCAGAGUGAAUCAGGUCUAAGAUGCAUUUGCUCUUAGUUGUUGACGUGCCAAACUUCAACCUGUGUUGUUUACUUGUAACACAGUGCUCACAAAAAGGUAAAGUAACCUUUGUAAGCCCAGGGAGUAACUUCUGAUCAGAGAGAACUUUCAAACCUUUCUUUGACAUCUGGCCUAGUUUUUAAUGCCACAUCAUCGUCUUCUCUUCUGCAGGACUGGCUGAUGCAAUUGAUGCUUCUGCCCCAUGAUGUGUUUCUCCCAUUAAUACAAACAUGUUUGCAACUGUCUUUCUUGCCUUUAAAAACACCAGCGCGCCUUUGACAAUUUUCAUGAUUCCAUUGUCUGUUCGGAUCUUACAGCCAAGACUAUCAAAUUGUCCUACGAACAAAAGAUUCUUCUUUAAGUCUUCUUUAAGUCUUCUUUAAGUCUUCUUUAAGUCUUUCACAUGUCGCACUCCUGAAAUAGUACGAAUUAAGCCAUCAUACAUCUUCAAUUUGAUGGUGCCAAUGCCAUCAAUCUCUAAAACAUGAUUAUCACCCAUGAACACUGUUGUAACCCAUUUUUGGGUCCCCAUAAAAAAUAAAAUAAAUAGCCCAAAAAAGGUUAGAAAAAUAACAGGAGGCAGAAGCACUCAGAAAACAGUCAGAAAAUUGGGCAAGGAAUUUAAAAAUACAAGGAUUGAAUUUUUGACAGUAUAUUCUUGAAGGAUGAAAGCCCUUUUGAGAAGGAAAAUUUGAAUUUUGAGGAGAAAAGCCCAAAUUUGGAUGUUUAUGGACUUAAUUGGAUUUUUAUUUGAAUUUAUAAAGGAUUUGAUUGCAAGAAAAAUUAAUUUUUAAGUCAAUUUGGGCUUUAAUUAGAAGAAAUUUAAGUUUUGGGGCCAAAAUAUAUUUUUUAGGAAUUUAUUAGGUCAAAUCAGGGGCUUAAUUGCAUAAAUAUUGAAGUUUAAUGGCCAAUUAGGGACUUAAUUGUGAAAAUCCGAAACCAGGGACCAAUUUGGAGAAGGCGCAAGGAUAGAGGGGGCGGUUUGAAGUUGAUUCAAUGGCUUAAUUGAAGAAAUUGGAAGUUUAUUGAACAAUUAAGGGCUUAAUUGUGAAAAUCAGAGGCCAAGGACCAAAGUGAAAAACGCGGCCAACUAUAGGGGUAGGGACCGAAUUUGGCAGGGACGCAAUUGAAUUUUAUUCUUGAUUGAAGGACUCGAUUGAAGGACUUAAUAGAACAAAUGAUAAAUUAAGGACUGAUUCAAAAAAACAAUGUUCUGGCGUCUUUAUUUUAAAAUGAAACGGCGCGUUUUAUCCAAAACGACGCCGUUUCAUGCAUAAUAAUAAAAAUAAUAAUAAUAAUAAAAAAAGAGACCGAACGGUGCCGUUUUGAACGGCACUGUUCACUUUCUUCUUCCCCCGAACAUUACAGCGGGGAAGAAGGAAAAGUUUGUAUUUUUUAUGUUUUGCAGGUCCCUCUUGCCACCAACCGACCGAGGCCCCACACCGGUGGGCCACCGACAGAAGACGCUGGCCGACCACCCGCCGCACCGCCGAAGCCGAGGGAGGCCCGCCUGGACAGCCGCUCCCCGACAGCCUCUCCUCGUCCCGCUCCUUGGCUCCACAUUGAUGUAACACUUGCAUUUUAUUUAUGUCAAAUUUGUUAAAAAAUUAGGAUUUUUUUUUUUUGCAUAUGCUUAUAUAUAAAUUAUUAUUAUGAUUAAAUGGGCUACCGAAAAUUCGGCAGAGUCUCCUCUGUAAAUUGACCUUCCCAAGUGUCGACAUCAACCUAAAACACAAUUUAUCCUGCAUAUUUAUGAUCCAACCAUUAUAGACUUCUUCAACAGAAAUCUGAUUACUCAUCACAUUAUCCACUUUAACUUGUAUCUUUAGCAUUUUCCCUUCUACCAGUAAUGUCAUAUAUCUUUUUCUUCACACAUAAUAUUAUUGAAACAAGCAUAUUAUAAAGUUAUCUACAUGCAUACUAAAAAUUCUUUAAUGCUUACACAAAAGAAAUUUAAUUAACUAACAAGUGGUAUAUGACUUAACACUAAUUACAAGCCCAAAAGAUAACUUUAAAAUCCUAGUGAACUAGAAAAUUACAUAAUCCAGAUAUCCAAAAUAUACCAAGUAACUAUCCACAAAAGAAGAUAAUCAAGGUUGUCCUGCGGUAUGAGAAGGAUCUGCAGCAAAUACAAUGUAAUUUAUUUAGUAAUACUAAUUUAAUUUAUCUACACACACAUAUAUAUAUAUAUAGUUGACAAAUUUUAUUUUAUUUUUUUAUACCACCUUGGUCCCCAUCUUAAUGGAAAUCCAAGUAAUCACACAAUUGAUCUAGGUCUUCCGCAAUUCCUGAUCAAAUUCAUUUCCACCUUAGUCAUUUUACACAUGAAUGACUAAGUUUUAUAACCACACCUUAGUUUCCGUUCUUACGGAUGACUAAGUCAUUUUUUCCAUAUCACCUUAACCAUGCUUUUGCAAAUGGCCAAGUCAAAUACUAUUCACCUUAGCUUUCCACCACUUUGGAAAACUAAGUCAAAAAUUAAUAUUCAUAUCUCCUUAGUUUCUGACCAUUUAGACAACUAAGUCAUAUACAUUAUCUUUUAUAUUAAUUAAUUUGUUCAACGAAUGAUUCUCUUCAUUCUUAACCAUGUUCUCUCAUCAUUCUCUUACAACCAUGACAUAGUUCAGUUCUAAUAAUUAUGAAAUGUAAAUAACAAAGGCAACCCAAUCAUAUAUAAGAAAAACUAAAGAACAACUACAAUAAUUUUACAUAGUUAAAGAGCGAAACACCUACCUGCAGCUCCAGGUGUUCGAGCUCGCUCCGCUAUGGUUCCAGCCACAAAUGCUCCUCCUGGUGAUGUUUUUACUUUUUCUCCCCUUCAAUUUUUCUUCUUUGUCAUGGCUUACGACCCCUUUCUCACCCUUCUCCCUUACUUAGUUUUCUUCUUAAAUCCUUGCUUGAGGAAGUGAUUUGGUGAUUUACACUUUUUAGAUCCUUGAUUCUACACAAUUUCUACUCUUUCUCUCAAGGUAAUUUUUUUGUUCAUGCGUUUUUCCCUCCUUUCUCUCCCUCCGUUUCAUCCCUCUGUUACCUCUGUUUUCGUCCCUCUAUUACCUCUGUUUCUGGCGUCAAAAUAAGGGAGAAAAAGUUGCUGGACAUUGCCAGCUCAUCAGGUAUUUACAAAACUGCCAUUGGUAAAUUUUAUGUUAUUUACUAUCCGACCAUUAGAAAUUUUUUAAAAUAUCUUCCUGAACUCGGAUUGCCCUAAAAUUUUAAUCAACUGUAGAAUUAUAUGUUGUAACAUUUCUCCUAAAAUUUCAGUUUAAUCUAAUGGUCGGAUUGAGCGUUCUGCUCAAAAGCGUGAAACUAUUUAAUAUGAGAAAUAUAUUUUAUUUAUUUAUUUAUUUUUUUUAUUAUUUUUUUUCAGGGUUUCACAUUCUCCUCUCCUAAUAAAAUUUCGUCCACGAAAUUUGAAUUUCUUACCUAUGUCAGCGAAUAAGUUUGGAUAUUUCUUCUUUAUUUCUGACUCCCUUUCCCACGUUUCUUCUUCCAUCUGUGAGUUUCUCCAUAAUAUCUUGACCAAGGCAACCUUCUUAUUUCUUAGCACUUUUUCACUCCUAUCUAGUAUUUUUACUGGUUUUACUUCUAAGGUCAAGUCCUCCUUGACUUCUACUGGAAUCUGCGGCAAAAGUCUUUUUGGAUCUAUUUCUGCCUUUCGAAGUAAAGAUACAUGAAACACAUUGUGUAUCUUUGAUAGAUGUGGGGGCAACACCAAUCUAUAAGCAACUGGCCCAAUCCUCUGCACCACUUCGAAUGGACCUAUAUGUCUGGGUGCUAAUUUGCCUUUCAUUCCAAAACGAAUAAUAUUUUUCCAUGGGGCAACCUUCAAGUAUACUUGGUCUCCUACUUCAAAUUCCAACGGUCUUCUUCUAUUGUCUGCAUAGCUCUUCUGUCUAUCCUGAGCCCCUUUCAUUCUAUCUUGAAUCAUUCUCACUUUUUCCGUAGUCACCUUCACCAAUUCAGACCCUAACAACUUUCUUUCUCCAACUUCCUCCCAACACAGUGGUGUACGACACCUUCUUCCAUAUAAGGCUUCAUAUGGCGCCAUCCCAAUUGUCGCUUGAUAGCUGUUGUUAUAAGUAAAUUCUACCAAUGAUAAGUAUCUUCCCAUUGCCCUCCAAAAUCUAAGAUGCACAAUCUUAAUAAAUCUUCUAACACUUGUAUCGUUCUCUCAGACUGUCCAUCUGUCUGUGGGUGGAAGGCCGUGCUUAAAUUCAUUUUUGUCCCUAAAGCUUGUUGCAAACUAGGCCACAACCUUGAUGUAAAUCGAGGAUCCCGAUCUGAUACUAUGGAUACUGGAACUCCAUGAAGCCGAACUACUUCACUUACAUACAGUUUUGCCAAUUUAUCUACCGAAUCUAUCAUUUUCAUUGGUAAAAACAAGGCAGACUUGGUCAAUCUAUCGACAAUCACCCAAACUGCAUCAUUCCCCUUUUUACUCUUUGGAAGUCCAGACACAAAAUCCAUGGUAAUAUUUUCCCAUUUCCAUUCCGGAAUUGGGAGCGGUUGUAGUUCUCCCGCGGGUCUCUUAUGCUCCACUUUGACCUGCUGACAAAUAGCACACUUGGCCACAUAUUCAGCUAUCUCCUUCUUCAUCCUUGGCCACCAAUAAUAUUCUUUUAGAUCUUUGAACAUCUUUGUGCUCCCAAGAUGCACUGUAAGCCUUGAUUCAUGUGCUUCCCUCAGAAUGUUUUCUUUCAAGUCUUUAUCCUCUGGUACGUAAACCCGUUUCUGCAUAGCCAGUAUUCUGUCUUCCCUUAACUGAAAUGGGGUCUCUUGUUUUAGCUUCAUUUCAUCCUUUAUCUUCUCCGCUUUCACAUCGUUCUUCUGAGCUUCUAAGAUCUUAUCCCAUAACAUGGGUUGGGCUACCAUUUGAGCUAGUAGAGAUCCAUUAAGUUCUACACCCAUCCGUGUCCUCAAUUCCCCCAACUCUAUCAAUUCUUUUACAUUGUUAAUUGUCAUCCCACCAAUCACUGCCUUGUUCUUUCUGCUUAGGGAAUCUGCUACAAUAUUUGCCUUCCCAGGGUGAUAAUCAAUAACACAGUCAUAAUCCUUUAUCAAUUCUAUCCACCUUCUUUGCUGCAUAUUUAAUUCUCUCUGGGACAUCAAGUACUUCAAACUCUUAUGAUCUGUAAAAAUUUGUACUUGGGCUCCAUACAAGUAAUGUCUCCAUAUUCUUAAUGCAAAAACUACUGCUGCUAACUCUAAAUCAUGCACUGGGUAGUUUACUUCAUGAGGUUUUAAUUGUCUUGAAGCAUAAGCAAUCACCUUCCCCUUUUGCAUUAACACACACCCUAGUCCUUUGUUUGAUGCAUCACUGUAUACUAUGAAUCCUUCUUGUCCUUCAGGUAAUGUCAGUACUGGAGCAGUGGUUAGCCUCUUCUUGAGUUCUUGAAAGCUUUGCUCACAUUCCUUAGACCAUUCAAACUUAACUUCCUUUCGAGUUAAUUAGGUCAUUGGAGAGGCUAUAGUUGAAAAGGCUUCUAUAAAUCUCCUGUAGUACCCGACCAGCCCUAGAAAACUUCGAAUCUCAGUCACAUUGGUGGGUCUCUCCCAUUUCAGUAUAGCUUCAAUUUUCCUGGGAUAUACAAAUAUGCCUUCUGCUGAAACUACAUGUCCCAAGAAAUUUACCCUAUCUAACCAGAAAUCACAUUUGCUUAGUUUGGCAUACAACUGGUUUUCUCGUAACACUUGCAAAACAUUCUUUAAGUGUUGCUCAUGAUCCGUCAAAGAUUUGGAAUAUACCAAGAUAUCAUCAAUAAACACCACUACAUACUUGUCUAAAUAGGAUUUAAACACUCGAUUCAUCAAAUCCAUGAACAUUGCAGGGACAUUAGUCAACCCAAAAGGCAUCACUAGAAAUUCAUAAUGCCCAUAUCGAGUUCUAAAAGAAGUUUUUGGUACAUCCUGCUCCUUGAUUCUCAGUUGAUGGUAUCCCGAUCUCAGAUCUAUCUUAGAAAAUACUUGUGCUCCCUUAAAUUGAUCAAACAAAUCAUCUAUCCGAGGAAGCGGAUACUUAUUCUUUACUGUCACCUUGUUUAACUGUCUAUAGUCUAUGCAAAGCCGGAAGGUACCAUCCUUCUUUUUGACAAACAAUACAGGAGCUCCCCAAGGGGAAUUACUUGGCCUAAUGAAUCCUUUAUCUAGUAGCUCUUGUAAUUGCACCUUCAAUUCAGCUAACUCUACUGGUGCCAUUCUAUAGGGAGCUCGGGAUGUGGGCAUAGUACCAGGUAGUACCUCUAUAGAAAAUUCUAUUUCUCGUUUUGGAGGUAGUCCUGACAACUCCUCAGGGAACACAUCUGGGUAUUCUCUUACUAUAGGAAUGUCCCUAAACUCCUUAUCCUGCUUCUCGUUGUCUACCACAUAAGCUAAAUAAGCUUGACACCCCUUUCUUAACAAUUUUUUAACAGUCAUUACAGAAAUAAUACUACCCAAAAUUACCCUUCUCUCUCCCUUAUAUUCUACCUUCUUCCCUUCUAUUACAUUAAAAGUCACAAUCUUAUUAUAACAAUCCAUGGUUGCAUGGUGUUUACCCAACCAGUCCAUCCCUAAAAUUACAUCAAAAUCUUGGAUAGUUAAAGGAACUAAAUCUACAUGCAAAUUUUGACCUCCAAUUUGUACAUUACACCCCCUAUAUAUUUCAUCUAUGUCUACCCUUUCCCCAAGAGGAGUACUAACCGUCAACCCUUUUUCUAACAUACAUUUUGGCAUGGUUAGCUUAUGUAUAAAUUUUGUUGACACAAAAGAAUGAGUCGCUCCAGGAUCUAGCAAUGCAUAAACUUGUUGAGCAUUCAAUGUAAUCAUACCUGCCACCACAUCUGAGGCAGCUCGUACCUCCUCCUAGGUCAUAUGAUAUACUCUUCCUUGGGUUCUAUUUCCUGUACUCCUACUCCUUCCUCUAUUUGCACUGACUCCAGAUUGUGUAGGUCGCAUUGAUUCCUUUUCAGGUCUAUCCACAGUUACUGAUUGUUGAUGACUUUGAGCUUGUCCCCUAUUUGGGCAGUUUCGACGAUAAUGCCCCUUCUCCCCACAUAAGUGACACCCUUCAGUAACAUAUCUGCACUCCUUCCAACGAUGCCCCUCCUGUCUACAAACAAAACAACGCCCUGGUGUCACCCUACAAUCUCCUGGGUGGAAUCGAUUACACACUUCACAGUGGGGAUGGUUUGAAGUUUCUUGUCUCAUAAUUCUUGUUGAACUUCCCCCUCUAACUUGCCCCUGUCGGGCUCCACCGCUAAAUUGUCCACUCCUUUCGACUUGGAAGAACCUGCCAGUAUUUCCUCUAAAAAGCUGAUUUCUGGAUAAUCCUUCCCCACUUUGUUUUGAAAUAGGUGACCUAGAAAAAUGAGUAGCAGUCUCUUUCCUCUUCCCAGCUGUUAUUUGCCCCUGCCUAGUUAUGUCAUGUUGGUCUACUUUCAACACCGCCUCUAAAGCUUGAGCAGCCUCUACCAAUUCCCUCAGAGUCUUUGGUUGAUAAGUGAUUAACCCCUUCUUUAAUUCCUGGGUCAAUCCCUCUUUAAAUCUCCCAAUUCUGUGAUGCUCCGUAGGAAUCAACACAGAGGCAAAUGUAGAAAGGCUUUGGAACCGUCUUUCAUACUCCAUAACUGUCAUGUCUAGUUCUUUCAAAUUUAAAAACUCUUGCUCUUUAUUCCAUCGAAAUUGUGCUGAGUAGUAUCGAAUCUCGAACUCAUGUUUAAAAUCAGCCCAGGAAAGCACCUCUCCUAUUCUCCUUUCCUUUACUGUAGCCCACCAAGUUUGGGCCUCAUCAGAUAGUAGUUGAGCCACACAAUUUACUUGCAUAUCUUCAGGCACUGGUAUCUGAAAAAGGGACUCCUCCACUUUUCGAAGCCAUCGUCCUGAGAUUUCUGCAUCCUCCUCUCCAAGGUAUGAUGUACAUCCCAUUUCUCUCAUACUUUUUACCCAAUAAACCAAAGUUUUAACUCUUUCCGUGUUCACUCCUCCAAUAACCCCUACCAUACCAGCCACCACAGCCCUCACUAUCUGUUCUAUAGAAGCAGGAUCCACAGAUUGCAUAGGUGCCCCCAAUGGCACUGUAGGUUGAGGUGGAUAAACCUGCUCAACCGGUUCUGGUCUCUGCACUCUUGGCACUCUUGGUGCUGAGGAUGCCGCUGAAGUACUAUGUGAUCCCACAAACUCUCUAUGCCUUACCUGCUCCCCAAGAUUAUGGGAUGCAGUAUCCCCAAGGGGGUCGUUCCUUUGAGCCUCAUUAUCAUUCUGUCCCCUCUCGGGAAUAAGGUCAAUCUGAUCUUCAGCUCUAGCUUCAGCUCGAGUACGUGCCAUUCUAUAUGAAAGAUUCAAGUUCUAUAUUAGUAACCCUUGCUUUCUUUUCACAUUCACAUCAAAAUAUAACCUAGUUCUGAUACCAAAUGUAACACUUGCAUUUUAUUUAUGUCAAAUUCGUUAAAAAAUUAGGAUUUGUUUUUUUGCAUAUGCUUAUAUAUAAAUUAUUAUUAUUAUUAAAUGGGCUACCGAAAAUUCGGCAGAGUCUCCUCUGUAAAUUGACCUUCCCAAGUGUCGACAUCAACCUAAAACACAAUUUAUCCUGCAUAUUUAUGAUCCAACCAUUAUAGACUUCUUCAACAGAAAUCUGAUUACUCAUCACAUUAUCCACUUUAACUUGUAUCUUUAGCAUUUUCCCUUCUACCAAUAAUGUCAUAUAUCUUUUUCUUCACACAUAAUAUUAUUGAAACAAGCAUAUUAUAAAGUUAUCUACAUGCAUACUAAAAAUUCUUUAAUGCUUACACAAAAGAAAUUUAGUUAACUAACAAGUGGUAUAUGACUUAACACUAAUUACAAGCCCAAAAGAUAACUUUAAAAUCCUAGUGAACUAGAAAAUUACAUAAUCCAGAUAUCCAAAAUAUACCAAGUAACUAUCCACAAAAGAAGAUAAUCAAGGUUGUCCUGCGGUAUGAGAAGGAUCUGCAGCAAAUACAACGUAAUUUAUUUAGUAAUACUAAUUUAAUUUAUCUACACACACACAUAUAUAUAUAUAGUUGACAAAUUUUAUUUUAUUUUUUUAUACCACCUUGGUCCCCAUCUUAAUGGAAAUCCAAGUAAUCACACAAUUGAUCUAGGUCUUCCGCAAUUCCUGAUCAAAUUCAUUUCCACCUUAGUCAUUUUACACAUGAAUGACUAAGUUUUAUAACCACACCUUAGUUUCCGUUCUUACGGAUGACUAAGUCAUUUUUUCCAUAUCACCUUAACCAUGCUUUUGCAAAUGGCCAAGUCAAAUACUAUUCACCUUAGCUUUCCACCACUUUGGAAAACUAAGUCAAAAAUUAAUAUUCAUAUCUCCUUAGUUUCUGACCAUUUAGACAACUAAGUCAUAUACAUUAUCUUUUAUAUUAAUUAAUUUGUUCAACGAAUGAUUCUCUUCAUUCUUAACCAUGUUCUCUCAUCAUUCUCUUACAACCAUGACAUAGUUCAGUUCUAAUAAUUAUGAAAUGUAAAUAACAAAGGCAACCCAAUCAUAUAUAAGAAAAACUAAAGAACAACUACAAUAAUUUUACAUAGUUAAAGAGCGAAACACCUACCUGCAGCUCCAGGUGUUCGAGCUCGCUCCGCUAUGGUUCCAGCCACAAAUGCUCCUCCUGGUGAUGUUUUUACUUUUUCUCCCCUUCAAUUUUUCUUCUUUGUCAUGGCUUACGACCCCUUUCUCACCCUUCUCCCUCACUUAGUUUUCUUCGUAAAUCCUUGCUUGAGGAAGUGAUUUGGUGAUUUACACUUUUUAGAUCCUUGAUUCUACACAAUUUCUACUCUUUCUCUCAAGGUAAUUUUUUUUUUCAUGCGUUUUUCCCUCCUUUCUCUCCUUCCGUUUCAUCCCUCUGUUACCUCUGUUUUCGUCCCUCUAUUACCUCUGUUUCUGGCGUCAAAAUAAGGGAGAAAAAGUUGCUGGACAUUGCCAGCUCAUCAGGUAUUUACAAAACUGCCAUUGGUAAAUUUUAUGUUAUUUACUAUCCGACCAUUAUAAAUUUUUUAAAAUAUCUUCCUGAACUCGGAUUACCCUAAAAUUUUAAUCCACUGUAGAAUUAUAUGUUGUAACAUUUCUCCUAAAAUUUCAGUUUAAUCUAAUGGUCGGAUUGAGCGUUCUGCUCAAAAGCGUGAAACUAUUUAAUAUGAGAAAUAUAUAUAUAUUUUUUUUUUUCAGGGUUUCACAGUUGAAGUCGCGCCCAUGGCUAUAAAUAGAGAACCGAAAGGGAGAACAGGGGACAAAAAAAAGAAAAAGAAAAGAAGAGCAACCCGAAGAGAACAAAAAACGAAGAGAGAGAGAAGGAGAGAGAAACCACCGAACUUAAGAAACCGCCACCGCAAACCCAAAACUGAGAAGCUUGGGAAAAUUUGAAGCUGAUAGGAAACUCAAGAAAUCGAAACAGAAGCAACGAACCGGGGAACGACGACCAACCGUGGGGAACAGCUGUAGCGUCGCCUGACCCGCCGUCCGUAAGCCACGACGCUGCCACCGCCUCCACAGCAGCACCGCCAGCAAGCCGUCGUCUCCGCCGUGCCAGGUACGCUCUCCCCCCUGCCCAUUCUUCUUGUUUUAUUUAUAAAUUUCGUCUCCUGCAUGCAGAAUGGUUCUGCAUGCAGGGGACGGGGGGGGGGGAAUAAUUCCCCCCUGUUGUUUUUCUUCUCUGGGCCAGAUGGUUUCUGGCCCAGAACUAAAUGGGGAACGGGCCAGAGUGUUUCUGGCCCAAUCGGGCGGUCUGGGCUGGGUCAGGCCCAUACCGAGGUUAAUUAAUUUCUUGGGCCGAAAUCGGCCCAAUCCCUUUUGGGCCGAGUUCGGCCCAACGACUUUUAAGGCUGGGUCCGGCCCAGCCCCUUUUAAUAUAUAAAUAUAUUAUAAUUAUAUUAUAUUAUUAUUAUUAUAUGUGUGUGUAUAUAUAUAUAUGUUUUUUUUUUUCCGGGAAAAAUCUAAAAAAAUUGUUGUUAUUUUCUUUUCAUAUAAAUAUAUUUUUGUUUUAUACAUUUGGUUUGUAUUUUUAUUUUGUGGAGAUACAAAUUCAGUGUUUAAAAUACCCGGUUUUCGUCAAGACAUCCAAGAUUUUCAAAUAUAAAUUUUUUUUUUUUUUUGGUUUCAAAAAUUUCAAAAAUUCCUUAAAACAUAUUGUGGAUUUUUCCGCACAUUUUGUUUAUGACUUAAUAUUAGCUUGUAUUUUUAUGCUGUGGAGAUACAAAUUCAGUAUUAAAAUACCCGAUUUCGUCAAAAAAAAAAAUAUUGUUUACAAAAAAAAAUGUUUCCUUGCGUGUUGCAUACGACCAAUACUCUAACAUGUUUUGAAUAUUCUUUUUAUAAAAAAAUAUAUUGGAAGCUUCGAAAGUGUGUUUUCGCAUAGAUUUCUUAAACACAAAUUAUUUUCUUGCAUUUUUGGAUUUUACAACAUGUUUGUAAAACUCCAAAGGGUAUUGGCCAAUAUUCCAAAAACUAUAAAAAAUCUUAUUUUGGGGGGAGAAAAUUUAUUUAUUAUUCACCACUAAUGUUUGGAUAAAGAAAUCCUUAAAAGGAUGAAUAUCCAAAAUAUUAUUGGGAGUAAUAAAUCCGCACACAUUCUUGAAAGAAGCCUUGAUUAUAAUCGAGGACAUUUCAAUUUUUUUUUUAUUCCACGUUUUUUUUUAGUCGCGAACUCUUGAAAUACUAAAGGAAAAAUGAGCUUUCAAAGCACAUGGAAUCUCCUUAGAUUUCUAUCCAAAAUCAAUUGACGAGCCUAGAAAAUACCAAUACCAUAGCAAUUAUAGAGCAAACCAAAACACCAAGCAGCUUACCUUAGGUAGGGCGUACUAGGGGUGCUAAUACCUUCCCUUUACGCAACCGGUCCCUUGCCUUAGAAUCUCUGAAAGACCAGUUAGGGUUCCUAGUGACCAAAAAUACUAGGUGGCGACUCCAAAGAACCAAAUCAGCAAAAACAGAACAAAACGAAAGUCGCCAGUCGAAUGUCGCAAAAAAAAAACAAAAUUUUGGAUUUUUUUUGGGGUGCGACAAACACUGUGCCUCCAGAAAUGGGUUCAUAUGUAUGGAACCAAUCCCGAUUAGGAGUCAUAUGCCAUGUUGCUCCUGAAUCCAUUAGCCAGACCUCAGUGAGCUCUUCUCUAUCUGUAGAGAUUAUUGCUGCUUCACUAUAUAAAACCUCUCCAUCUUCUGAGGUGCUUGCAACACAUCCUUGAGGUUUUGAUGACUCUGCAGUAUUCUCUAUACCCUUUUUAAACCAACAAUCCUUUUUGAAGUGCCCUUUUCUGCCACAGUUGUAGCAUUUCACCGUCUUCUUACUUCUUGAUUUGGACCUCCCCUGCCUUUGACUCCCACUGGAGCCACGUUCCGUUGAUCUUCCUCUUGAUACCAACAAUGCCUCAGCUUGGUUUGAACUGUUUCUGUCUCCUUUGUUUUUGCGCCUAUUUUCUUCUUCCAAGAUAGCAGCUGCAACAUCAUCGAAGACUAAAUAGUCUGAAAGGAUAUUAUUGGUCAAGUUGAUAAUGAGCUGAUCAUACGAAUCAGGAAGACUUUGAAGUAGAAGCUCUGCACGUUCAUGUUCCUCUAUUUGUUGACCCAACGUAGUGAGUUUUGAAAAUAGAGUUCUUAUUGUGUUGAUGUGGUCAGUUACCGACGUGGUUUCUGCCAUUCGAAGGGUAUAAAGUCUCCGCUUUAAGAAAAUCUUAUUAUGCAAAGACUUGGACUUAUAUAGCUUGGUUAGAGUCUCCCAUAUCUCCUUAGCUGUUUUCUUCUCCGCCACACUUGAUAAUACUUCAUCGGCUAAUGCUAAAUGUAUGUUAGCAAUAGCAUUGCCAUCCAUCUCAUCGUUUUGCAUCAUCAGUGAUCUCCGCGGGCCGAUCCCCAAUUGUUGCCAAGCAAUUGUCUUUCCUUAAGAUUGCCUUGAUUCUCAUUUUCCACAGUGAGAAAUUGCUCCCCUUGAACCUCUCAAUCUCAUACUUUGCUGCCAUUUUAUUCACCGUGAUCUAUUCAGAUAUCACCGUUUCACAGAUUUGUAACGUAUAUAGAAAUAGUAUCGUGUGAAAAAUACUUCACUAAGUAAGUUCCCAGGAAAGAUUGGAGGGGUCACAAACGGUCCCGCUUAAAACCCAAUCUUCUUAGACAGAACUUCCUAGACUGUAUUUAAUCACCGCACUGACUUUCUAUAUACGCCAACAGUAACGUAAGUGAACAGUACCGAAUGGAUGAAUAGUGCCGUAUAGGUGAAUAGUGCCAUAGGCGUGAAUAGUAACCGUAUACACGAAUAACUUUUGUGUGUUAACAACACCAACCAAGAAGGCUCUGAUACCACUGUUAGGAUACUGACAUGCAAACCCGACAAGACAAAAGGCAAAGGAUAGGAUAAAUGAGAAAUGAGACACACAAGAAUUUACGUGGUUCACCCAAUUAGGCUACGUCCACGAGCAAGUAUAGAAGGAUUUUACUAGUAAUGUGGGAAUUACAAUCUCUCUCAGAUAAUAGGAGAACAACUAGAAUCUCUCUAUUACUAGGAGGAAACACCUCACUUAUUCUCUCACAAGUACCUCACAACUUAGUGGGAUUACACUCUCUUCACUCUACUCUUCUUCUCUCUUCCUUGGUGUGCAUAUAAUGCUUGGAUGCAUUGCUUAUUUAUAGGCAAGCAUCCAUGCAAGAGCAAGUGGCCAAGUGGCCAACUAUCUUCACAAAAACUAUCUCCCAUCUAUCGCCGUUAUUGUCACAUUAUUCACGGAAGGUACCCCACAAGAUCUCAUGAAUGGUCUUUGUUCUGCCAUGUUUCUGCCUGCAACAAAAGCAGGUUGCUUAGGUUCUGGGAGAGCCACGUGUUCGUUUACGAUCAUGGAUAUAACAUCAGACAUUGUAGGCCGACCAGUAGGACUUUCUUGGACACAAAGAAGCCCUAUGUUUAUGUAUCUCAACAGCGUAGCAGUUGAAGGAGGAUCUCCCAGGCUUGGAUCCAUCAAAUCCAAAGCUUUAUUAGAAUUCUAUAACUUCCAUGCCUAUGGUAUAACAACGCAAAUGCUGCAUCAUUAGUGUGGAAACUAGGAAAGUAGUCAAAUACAAAUCAAUAUGGAAGAAAAAGAAAUAAGCGUAUAUGAAAGCUCCCCACAUGUCCAAGAAGAUUGAGGGAGUCGCUGUGGUAGAAACUAGUAUUCUUCCUGCCGCUUACAAUCUCAAGUACCAGCAUAGCAUAUUCAGGGGACAUAUAGCCACUAAAAAUUGGAAAGGUCAGUGCAGAUCAUGUUAAGAGUAGCUGUUACUGGAAAGUGGAAUUCAAGAAACUUACUAUGUUCCAACGAUCCUGUUGGUGUUUGCUUGAGUUUCGUUGCCUCCGAAAAUUCGAGCCAUCCCGAAAUCCGAUAUUUUUGGAUUCAUUUCACUGUCUAAUAGAAUGUUGCUAGGCUUUAAAUCCCUGUGAAUGAUUCGUAACCGUGAAUAUCUAUGUAGAUACAGAAGGCCUUGAGCAAUUCCUUCGAUUAUCCGAACCCGUGUACCCCAAUCUAGGAUUUGUCCUCUGUUUGCAUCUGUUUAUAGUUUAUACACAAAUCUGAUAUAAAUUUCUUGAAGCAUUUGGAAAGUCAGUGAAAAUUAAUGCAAGAAAAUGCUGACCAAAGAGAAAGAAAUCCAAGCUUUUAUUUGGCAUGUACUCAUAGAUUAGCAUUUUCUCAUCCCGUUCAAUACAGGAACCUAAUAGCCUGACAAGAUUCCGGUGCUGGAGUUUGGCGAUUAGAAUUGUCUCAUUUCUGAACUCUUCGAGCCCCUGCCCAGAUCUUUCUGAAAGCCUCUUCACUGCUAUUUCCAGUCCCUUAGGUAAUUUGCCCUAAUAAAUGAACCAAAAGUCAUUCUGAAAGCUCAUUCAAACAAUUUUCAUUUUUUUCUUCUGAAAAGGUUAGAAUAAUUAUUUGAACGUAAAUUACUUUAUAAACAGGUCCGAAUCCUCCCUCUCCAAGCUUGUCUGAGAAUUGUCCAGUUGCAACUGAUACGCUCUCAUAACUGAACAAUGCAAUUCCAUAUUCUUACUCCAUCUAUUCUUCCGAUUGUCAACAGAGCUAGAUUCUCUGUUAGUUGAGCUAGGAUCCGUAUCGAAAUCAAAGAGCAACAAAUUGUGGCUUGCGUGUUGCUUCCCUGUUCAAGAGAAAAUUAAAAAUUACUGAACCAAUCACUUUGUUAAAAUAUCCAGCAAUUCUGAUUAUAUCAACCAAAAAUGUAACCACUUCAGGUUAUAAUAACCACAAUUUCCGAUAUUAAAAGGGAUUCCAAUUGUCAAUUUUUGUCAUGAAAAAAGAAACUUUGGUGUUUGUUUGGGGUUAGAUAUUUUACCCACAGACAACCUUCUACUUUUUGAACAUUUUAUAUGAGAAGUUUUUCGGAGAUGUGUUGGUUUACAGGAGACAAACACACGAAAAUCAGAUUUCAGUUAAAUUUUUUAGACAGUCUUCAAUUCAAAAACAUGUCUUAACAAAAUUAACCUUAUCAUCUUCAUACCCAACACAUAAUUACGGAGGAGGAGGGCUUUUUCUUACUUUUCAUUACAGUGUCAUAACCUAAUUUUUUAUUAUUUUAUUUUAUUUUUUAAAAAAUAAUAUUAAAAUAAACGAUGAUAAAAAAAUGAAAAAAAUAAAUGAAAUGAAGAAAAUGAAAAAAUGAAUGAAAUAGAAAAAAAUGAAAUGAAUGAAGAAUAAAUUGAAAUUUAGGUAAAGAUAAUAUAAAUUAGAAGGUUGAGAACUUAAUUAAACUUUGAAUUACUUCAUUAAUCAAAUCAAAAGCCUAAUUAAAUAUUUAAUAAGUUUGGGGACUUAAUUCAACUUGAAAUUAGUUUAAUUAAAUAAGGGGCUUAAUUGAAUAAAUACUAAAAUUUGAGGCUGAUUUGGGUCAAAAUUACAAAAUAAAAGUCCAAAAACUAAAGAGAAAAGAAGGGGGUACUGUAUGGAGCUUAAUUAUUUAAUUAUUGUUUGCAGGGGUAAUUUUGAAAACAUAAAAGGUUGAAGAGUCUAUCAAGGACUUUUCUGUGAAAUGCUCUAAAAUAUAGGGGUCCAAUUAUAAUUUACCCAGGGACUUGGAUACAAAGUUUCAUAAAUUGAGUGACCAAAAUGAAAAUGGCCAUUCCCAUCCGGAACAUCUGGAAGGAGAAACGACAGCAAAUCAACGGAAGCCUGCCAGCUGCCCUUAACUAUGACCAACCAGGUCACUGGUUUGUUCCAGUAACUAGCUGGGCCAGACUUAUGCCAGUGAUCAGGCCGAGCUAAUUAUGUUUAGUUCCUACGAGCUGAGCUGGAUUUAGAAAAAAAAAAAAAAACUGAGGUAAGGCUGGACCUGAGCUUCAACCCAUCCAAUCUAAUUUGUUUUUGGUCAAGGGUGUUUUUUUUAAAACAAUUUCUUAUGCUAAUCUUCUUUAUUUUAUUUAUUUGUUUUGAUAUUUGGUCAAACAAACUUUUUUUUUAUAUUAGAAAAUUUUAAAAAAAUUUGUGGACCUUUUUUAAUUUAUUUGUAGGUCCCUCGAGUAUUUUUUUUCCUAACAAUUUCAUUAUAUAUUUAAUUUGUUGAUUUUUACUGUAAAAUACUAAUUUUGUAUACGAUACAUACCUGUUUUUUUUUUUACAAAAAUAAUAACAAAAAAAAAAUAUAUUUCUUCUUUUCAAUUCAAAUUUUAUUGGUUUAUUCACUAAGACCAGAGCCAGGAAUACUAUAUAUUUUUUGGCUGCGUAAUAUUUACCAACACCAGAAUUAAAAAUACUCUUAAUUGAAUAUUUGCUGAUGCUAGAAUCAUGAAUAAUACAAACAGACUAUCGGUAAUAUAGUAUAACAAACUUUAGUAAUUUAAAAUAAAAUCAAUAAUGAAGUCUAUUUUAGGUAGAAUUGUAAAAAAAUGAUAAUAUUUUUUUUUUUGCAACUAGUUUCAUAUUAAAAAGUUUUUAUUGAUGAAUUAAGAGUUUUAGUAAUUAUAAUAAUAAUAGAUGAUUAUUUUUUAAAGAAUUUUUUUUUUAAUCUAAAAAGUAAAAUGUCAAAAAACAUGUUCUUUUCUGCAAAUUAAAAAUUUAAAAGUUACCAUAUCGAUACGAUAACCAGUAACUUCAAGAUUUAAUUAAAUUAAGUCUACCAGCAGACAACGGAAUUAAAGAAAGAACCAGGAUGUACCUCUGUGCAUGAGCUUUCCUUUGCGCAGACAUCUGAAGUACAUGAAGAGGCCGAAGGUAAUCAGAGUAGUUGGAAUAGCCACAGCCAAGGUUGUCCGUAUUGUCCUUUUGAUAUUACCUACUUGUAAAUAUAGAGAUCAAAUAUUACAAAAUCAUAAACCAACACCUGUACACUGGAUUAAGAAGUUUUUUUAUUGUAGAAAAAAAUGGACAGAUAGGUUAUGUCAGGGAACACUGCGUCCGCGUUUUUGACCGUGAUUUUGUCAAAAAUGGUUUCUCGUCAUUUAUUGGAUCAUACUGUCUAUAUGUACAAAGCCAUACCUGUUCGGGUACUGCCAUUACCAAUCUGUUGUUCAAGCUCAGAAGCAGCAAGUCUGAUGUAAAUUUCUGCCAUUACCCCUGGAUGUUGUUGUAAGUUUAUAAGAUCUCCUUCCCAUAAAGAACACCCACUGUUAUACUUAUAGGCAUAAGCCACGCAAGAACAAAUUUCCAAGCAAUCCAAUCUACAUCUUUCAGCACUCACUUUCUGAUAUGUUUUUGAAUUUGCAGGUAAUGUCAGAUUCGAAAUCUUUAGGAAUCCAUCUUCCUUUCCAACACUUCUCUUAUUUUGACACUGCAAAGGAGAUUUCCUAACACAACCACUUGACCAAUCAUUUUGCACUAAUGGUUUAAAACCUUUCAGGCAUUCACAAGAGCUCGAUGAAUUUCCUUGAAAGACUCCAAAAACCCCGCAUAAACCAUAAACUUCAGCUUGGUCUCUUGGUUGGGACCAAAACAUAGUCCAAUUCCAAACACCUUCCAACGAAGUGAGUUGUUUGAUCUGUCCUGAAACAUCAAUCACGGUUCUUGAAAGAGUUGAGGUAUUGUACAAAGAAUAGGUGAAAUAGCUUUCAUUUUCAUUUGAUACAUGACUAAACUUUAAAAUAUUGUUCAAUCUCAUCUCAGGCACCAAGGCAAAUAUUUCUCCAUUCCAAUCACCACUGCUCCAAUACCUGUGUGACCUGUUCCACUCUAUGAAAAGCUGACUGCUUCCAUUUGGGUCGAUCCCAAUCGAGAACAUACCUGGUGCAGGAUCAUCUGAGUUUUUCCAUGAAAUAAGCCGCUGCACUUGCCCAGUGUGCUUGUUGAUUCCAAGCUUUCCACCAGGUAGCCAUGUGUCAGUUGGAUAAUCGAAACUCUGCCAAUAUAUGGUAGCUGGAUUUGAGCCAUCUCUUACGACAAAGUUUCCAUCAUCAAGAAGUACUGCUUCUGCUGUACUAGUAUUCGACAUUGAAGAUGCAAGAGCUGUUGACCAAAUUGUUUUGGUGAAAUUCGUCAGCAAGACAAGAUUGCCAUCAGCUGACAAUUCAAGCUUCGAUGAAGCUGGGUCGUUUGAAGAGCUCUCCCUGUUUGCUACCCAAACAGUCGCCUUAUCUUCAAAGUUCUUAUACCAUAUUCCCAGGUAAAUGUUUACUGAAGUGCCUGGCUUGAAGAAACCGAGUUCAAAAGUGCCGUUUUGAGAUAUUAGUUUCUGGCUCGCAGAGAGAGAUUGGCCAACCAAAAGGGUGUCAUCUCCAAUAGAGAAGCAAGUCCUAUCGUAAACGAAUAGCAACAACAGCACAAAGAGCCAGAAACAUGGCUUUGUCUUAACACACAUCCUCUCUAAUUUGUGGAAUUAAGGGUGUAUAGCUGUGACUGAGUAUGGAUCAGAGAACGAGGGAAAGAAAAACAAGAUAUCCCUGGUGAAUUCAGCAACUACGAGAAUGCUUUCUUUGAUCAUAUUGCUGCUAUCAGCUUUCUAUAUUAUAGCCACAUUGAUUUGACUUGACUUGGACUUAACUGUUAUGCCGUGUCCCUUAAUUUGUUUUCAGAAAUCAUGUUAAAUUCAAGUCAUGAAAAAAAAAACCAAAAAAUUUAUUUGAUAAUGCUCUAGAUCUCUUGUUAUAUUGUAGCUGUCAGCUCUGACCAAUAAUUUCCCACACUGACUUGGACUUGAAUUCAUCAGCUAUGCCAUUUGUUUUUUGAGUCAUGUAAUGCUGAAAUGUGGGUUGAAUUGUCAAAUUACAGUAAAAAUAUCAAUACUAUAAGGCAUUGAAGAAAGAUAAUUUUUUUUUUGUUGAAAUUUAGAACUUAAAAUGGAAAUUUCUAUACAAUAUAUUUUUGUUUAUUGUUUUUCCUUAUAUUAAUUGAAAUUCAUGUUCUAGAUUCAGUUUCAUAUGUGUACUAUAUGCUCUUAUUUUUUUUUUUAAUUUUUGAUAAAAUAAAUCAUUGGUGCUUUAGAGUGUUUUUAUUUUAUUUUAAAAAUUGUAUGGAGAAAGAGUAGAAAAAGAGAAAGGGGGUGUUUAAUAAUAAGGUGCAUGUUUAUUUUAAAGGCUAAAAUAAUAUUUUUAAAAAUUAAGAUUUUUUGCUUGAAGCUAUUUUUUUUAAUUAUUUUGAUGUGCUGGUAUUUAAAAUAAUUUUUAAAAAAUAAAAAAUAUUAUAUUAAUAUAUUUUCGAGUAAAAAAUAAUUUUAAAAACAAUUAUUAAUUUUAUUUUUGUCAUUAUCUAUUUUAAUUUAUUACUCUUUUUUUUUUUAAAGAGGAUUUUUUCACUAAACAAUUACCACAGUAAUAGUAGACUAAUUCAAAUGUCUAUUAAUAAUUAAUAAAGUUUCAUUGUAUUCUUUGGGUGCAUAUUAGGAUUCUUUGGGUCCAUUUCAAAGUCAAAGAUGAAUACAUAUUGUAUUCAAAACAGGACCAACCCAUCACACACUCACUUUUGAAUAAAACUUUACGUGGAAUAUAUAUCUGAAAUACAGCAGGAAGGAAAAAUGCAAAACGGCGCGUAUGUUUCUUGGUCAUGCUAAGAAAAAAAUCGACACUUUCUUUAUCAUUACAAGCUAUUAUUUUCUUUCUUUUGAAAAGCAAAUUUACUGUCAAAUUUAGCUGAUGCCAAUUCGGAGAAUCCAUCAAAAUCCCACUGUAGCUUCUGCAUUAUCAAAUAUAUAAUAUAAAUGCAUCCAAAAACCAUCUGAGGUUAACAUAUAAGAAAAUCAAUUGUAUAAAACCCCAUCAGACAGAAUUUAUCUUUUGAUGAAUGGGCGAUUUUCAUUUAUCAAAGAACGACUUGACAGGAAAUCAAGUUCUACUCACAGACAGAGAGAAUCUUGUAUAAGCUUAAGAUCUCCUCCUUAAGAUAGUGACUUAAAAAGACAAUGCCAGCUGGUGGGACAAUAUUUAUGACCACGAAUUAAAGCUCCAUUUCUGAAGACGCCCUCAGGAUUUUGGUGAGUCUAAAGAAGGGUUAGAGGUGAAGAGAGAAGGGCAUUUGUGUGUGUUUUGUUAGUAAAAAAAGAUGCCACCAGCGUGCCUUUUUGCAUAAUAAAACGAUGUCUUCUGAGGACUGUUGACACUUUUUAAUUUUGGCCUUCGGUAAACCCUGAAAAGUUAAUGAUUAUUUACAGGAAAAUGAAAUGCAUGUAUUGCAAAUGAAAUAAGAGGAAACAUAAUAAUAGGAAAUAACAACCGAAUUAAUUAUUUGUAAUUGUUUACAUCCAAAUAUCUUGUGAGUUCAUUACCACCAGUAUAACUAAAAUUAAAUUUAUUAUAUUUUAGUCAAAUCGAUAGUCUAUUUAAAAUCGAAGAUAAACUAGAUAUUAAUUCGGCAGUGCCUUAAUAAAAACUAAAUAAUUUCUUAUGAUUUCUGAAAUCUAAGAAGACCACUGACAAAUUAAAAAUCCAAAGUCUUUAUUCUUUAGAUCUCUAUAUGAAGUAGUUUCCUGUCCUUUAGACCUCUUGAUGAAAAAAAUUAUCUCCCAUCUAUCGCUGUAUAAGGAAAGACAAAAACAAGCAAACAGAGACUUAGUAUUUGUUGAAAUUUGAUGAUCUGAACAGUAACUGUUUAGAACAGUUACUGUUUGGAUUAAAUUCUGGAAAAUGCGAAAUUUGAAGAAAUUGAAGACUUGCAAUAAUGAGCAGAAUUGAUGAAUUGUAUUUGCUUAAUUUUAUUCAAAAUAGAAAUGCCUAAUAUAUAGGCUUACAAAACAUGAAUUAUAAUCAAAAUUAAACUCUCAACUACACUAAGAGAUUUAUUGAAAUGAAAUUACGAAAAAAUAGCACACAAUCUGCUAUUUGAAUUCAAAUUUGAAAAACACAAAAACAGGACAUUAUCUUGACUUCAAUCUUCCUUCAAGGCAGCAUCUCACACGUGUUCCAACACUCCUCCUUGAGACUUGCCUUGAACAUUCCUAGCUUCAUCCUAAGCAUCUCCAGCCUUGAUCUUGGAAGUCCUUUAGUCAUUAAAUCUGCCAAUUGGACUUCAGUUGGACAGUGAAGAAUUUUGAUGAACAAAUUCUUCUCAGCUUCCCUCAAUGCAUGAAACUUGACAUUAAUGUGCUUUGUUCUCCCAUGCUGGACUGGAUUUUGUGCAAUUGCUAUUGCUGACUUGUUGUCACAAUAAAGCUCGGUUGGUGAGCUUUGCUUAUGACCCAAAUCUGCCAAAACUUUGCUCAACCAUAUAGCCUGAUUUGCAGCAGCUGCCAUGGAGAUGUACUCAGCCUCUGCUGUCGAUUGAGCAACCACAUCUUGCUUCCUUGCAUUCCAGCAAAUUGCACCUGAACCAAUGCUAAAAACAUAACCAGAAGUACUCUUCAUAUCAUCAACACUUCCAGCCCAAUCACUAUCUGCAUAGCCAAUCAAGCAUACUCCUCCUGUUUUUGAGUACCUUAGGCCUAAGUCAGCUGUGCCUUUGAUGUAUUUCAGUACUCUUUUAGCCACUCCCAUGUGAACACUACUAGGUGAACUCAUGAAUCUUGACAGCAAACCAGCAGGGAACAUCAAGUCUGGUCUAGUUGCUGUCAAGUAUAGCAAACUGCCCACCAAGCUUCUAAAAACAGAAGGAUCUUCUAGCUUCUCACCAUCAUUCUUCGAAAUUCUUUCAUUUUGUGCCAAAGGUGUAGCUACUUCUUUGCAUGAUUCCAGUUUGAACCUUUUAAGCACAUCAAUAGCAUACUUCUUUUGUGACAAAAAAAUCCCUAAGUUGUCUUGUUGUAUCUCCAUUCCAAGAAAAUAAUUCAUCAUCCCCAAGUCACUCAUUUCAAAUACAUCCUCCAUUUCCUUUUUGAACUUUGCCAGCAAUGAAGUAUUGCUUCCAGUCACCAACAUGUCAUCUACAUAAAGUGAAAUUACUAACUGCACUUCAUCUCCUUCUUUCUUUAAGUACAAUGUAGCUUCAUUUUCACUCCUUCUAAACCCCAAUUGGAUUAAAUAGGAAUCAAUCCUACUAUACCAAGCCCUUGGGGCUUGUUUCAAGCCAUAAAGAGCUUUGUGUAGCUUAUACACCUUAUGCUCAUGGCCUGCCACUUUGAAUCCUUCGGGUUGCUGCACAUAUAUGUCUUCAACUAAUAUACCAUUUAAAAAAGCUGAUUUAACAUCUAAAUGGUAUACCUUCCAUCCAAGUUGACCAGCAAUUGCAAGAAGGAGCCGAAUUGUAUCAUGCCUAGCAACUGGGGCAAAUGUGUCCCCAUAAUCAACCCCAGCCACUUGUGCAAAUCCUUUGACCACCAAUCUAGCUUUGUGUUUAAAUACAGAACCAUCAGGAUUGAAUUUAGUCCUGAAUACCCACUUAACACCAAUUUCUUUCUUGUUGUGAGGCAGCACUGUCAAGCUCCAGGUUUGAUUCCUUUCAAUGGAAUCAAUUUCUGAUUUCAUGGCUUCUAUCCAAGCUGCAUCCUUUGCUGCUUCAGCAUAGCUUGUUGGCUCGGCAUGCACCAAGUUACACCUCUCAUAUAUCUCAGCUAGGGGCCUAACUUUAAGAACAUCUGCAUCUGAAGUUCCAUCAACAUCAAACUCAGUUUCAGUGCUUGUUUCCCCUGCUGCAGCAUCAAGGAUUGUGCUCUUCUGAUCCACCUCCUUCAAGUCCCAAUUCCAGCAUGCAAUUUCAUCAAAGUGCACGUCUCUACUGAUCUGAAUUUUGGACUCAUUCAGGUUGUAAAUCCUGUAACCUUUGGAUUCAGUUGAAUAUCCCACAAAAAUUCCCUUGACUGCUGUUUCAUCUAGCUUCCCUCUUUUGACAGUGGGCACAUGAAAAUAACACAAAGAACCAAACACCCUUAGAUGGUUGGCAGUUGGCUUUCUUCCUAAGCUUCUAUUUUUCCAUUGACAGACUUUGUGGGAAGCCUGUUUAGCAAGUAAACUGAGGUGUUUACUGCCUCUGCCCAUAGAAACUUAGGCAACCUCUUCUCAAACAUCAUGCACCUUGACAUUUCCAUGAUUGUCCUAUUCUUCCUCUCCGAGACACCAUUCUGCUGAGGAGAAUAGGGCACUGUCAACUGGUGCACAAUUCCAGUUUCAAGGCAAAAAUUCUGGAAAUCCCUUGAAGUAUAUUCUCCACCAUUGUCGGUUCUCAGCACCUUAAUUCUUUGUCCACUUUGUGUUUCAACCAUGCUUUUGAAACUCUUGAACUUUGAUAGUGCUUGAGACUUGUUUUCCAGAAACUGGACCCAAAUCAUUCUGCUAUGGUCAUCAAUGAACAAAAUAAAGUAAAAGUUAUUGUUCAAGGAGGCUGUCCUCAUUGGUCCACAAAUGUCAGAAUGGACCAAUUCCAGCCUUGAUUUUGCUCUAUUGGUUGUUGCACGAGGGAAUGAAACCCUAUGGUGCUUCCCCAACUCACAACCUUCACAAAUGUGCACAUUCAGAAAUGGCAGGCAUCCCCUCUAUCAUGCAUCUGUCAUGCAACAAUUUCAAAGAAUCGAAAUUGUAGUGCCCAAACCUCUUGUGCCAAACAACACUCAUAUCAGAAUUUGCACUUAAUGCAUGACCUUCAAUGACAUUUAAAUCAAGAUAAAAACUAUUUCCAUCCAUUUUUAUCUUUGCUACAGCAGAAUCCUUUGUGUCAACAAUGAAGCAGCAAUUAUCCUUAAAGGUUACUUCAUAACCAUUCCUAAGCAUUUGAGGAACACUCAACAAAUUUUGAUCUAACUCAGGAAUGAAGAGGACAUUUUUAUAGUUUUUGUACCUCUUGAAGUGCUGACUGUGACAGUGCCUCUUCCUUUAGCUUGCACAAAGUCACCAUUUCCCAAUUUAAUUUUUGGCUUUAUUGAUCGAUCAAUUGAGGAAAAAAUUGAUAAAUGCUUUGUCAUGUGGUUGGUGCAGCCACUCUCAAUAAGCCAAGUGUUCUUCUUGGAGAUGGUACUGGUCUGCAAGGCCAUGAAUAGCUGCUCCUCAGUUUCUUCAGGGUCCUUGUCUUCUUCAGAUACAUUUGCUUGCUGCUGAAAUCCUUGCUGCGGCUGUUUCUUCUUCAGCCUGCAAAACUUUUCACUAUGGCCAUUUCUCUUGCAAAAAUCACAGUGAAUGAGAGUUUUGCCUUUGAACCAGCAGUCAGCCUCUGCGUGAUUUGUUCUCUUACAAUAAGAACAAGGAGAAAAAUGUCUACUGGCAGGGACAAUAGCUUUACCUUUUGACAGGUUUGAUUUACCAGUACUGAAAUUUUUCUUGGGAAAAAUUCUAGAUUUUUUCCCUUUAAAGCUUGCUUGAAAUGCUCCUUCAACAACUUCAUUAUCUCUCAUUUGAACCCUUUGCUCCUGAAUUUAAAGCUUGUUGAUUAACUCUGCAACAUAUAGAGUUUGCAAAUCACAAGACUCUUCUAUUGCAGAGAUUUUAGCCUCAAAUCUUUCUGGAAUUGACAUCAUAAGCUUCUCCACUAUCUUAUGAUCUUCAAAUGUCUCCCCAAGGAGUCUCAUUUGGUUGACAGUGUUCAUCAAUCUGCCGGAAUAGGACUUGACAUUUUCAUUGUCCUUCAUCUUCAUUAGCUCAAAUUCUCUCUUUAAUGCAAGGAGUUUGACUGUUUUGACUCGAUUGCUGCCUUCAAAUUCAACUUGAAGUUUGUCCCAAAUCUGUUUUGGUGUCUCAAGAUUCAUAAUCUUGGUGAAAAUGUGGUUUGCAAUUCCAGAAUGCAAACAUGUAAUAGCCUUGUCUUUCUUCAAUUUUUCUUCUUCAUGAGCCCUUAUUUCAGCUAAAGUUGGAUUUGCACGUAGUGGAUAUGGAUCAGCAUCCGUCUCCACAAUGUUCCAUAAACCUUGGGAUCGCAGGAAAAACCUCAUUUUGACAGCCCAAAUGUGAUAGUGCUCACCAUCAAAAAUUGGAACCGAAGAGUGUGAAUGUGCAGAGGAUGAUGAAGCCAUUGAUUUCUUAGAAGUUAACUCUCAGUGUUUCUCUCAACCCCCCAAGUGUUUUACACUCACAAUCUCUCGUGUUUCACUCAGUAAAAUCACCCUCAGUCCCAUAGGAAUUUAGCUCUGAUACCACUGUUGAAAUUUGAUGAUCUGAACAGUAACUGUUUAGAACAGUUACUGUUUGGAUUAAAUUCUGGAAAAUGCGAAAUUUGAAGAAAUUGAAGACUUGCAAUAAUGAGCAGAAUUGAUGAAUUGUAUUUGCUUAAUUUUAUUCAAAAUGGAAAUGCCUAAUAUAUAGGCUUACAAAACAUGAAUUAUAAUCAAAAUUAAACUCUCAACUACACUAAGAGAUUUAUUGAAAUGAAAUUACGAAAAAAUAGCACACAAUCUGCUAUUUGAAUUCAAAUUUGAAAAACACAAAAACAGGACAUUAUCUUGACUUCAAUCUUCCUUCAAGGCAGCAUCUCACACGUGUUCCAACAGUAUUGUCAAAUUUGUAGUUGCAACUCCUUAAUUUUGUUCCUUAAUAAAUGAUACAAGUGUGAUGAUAAUUCAAUUAGAUCGCGUUGUUCCAUAACUUCGCCUUUAUGAGCUGAACUCUGGAGAAUAUCGGUGAAUUCUGCUAGUGUUCCUUAAAAGAAACCUGCAGUCUCAGAAGUUGGGAGGCCAGCUCUUCAAAAUCUUAUCCUCGCUGAGAAGGCAGCAGUUAGUUUGGUAGAUGAUCACAUUCAAGAGGUGCUGUGGUAUAGGGAUAGGAGGGGGCCAGAUUCUUGUAAAUUGUUGUAUAUGCAAAGCUAGUUCUACUGAAUCAGUUUUCUAUGAAGUAAAACUGAAGUAAUAGCCUUUAGCCUUGUACUCGAGUUCUCAAAUACGCAGAAAUUACAGCUGCUUUGAUAUUGCCGUACUGGAAUGAAAUAACAGUGUGAGGUUUUGAAAAGUUCCCUUUACAUUAGUGGUGCAAGUUAACCAGUGGAGCAUUUGCGUUUGUUUUGUUAUAGGACCAGUUCAGUCUUGUUCGGCAGCCGUCCACUUCCAAGUGUUUCUUUUGAGCAUGAGGCCAUUUGAUUAGUGCCAUGGUUUCUAGACAUUUUUGUUCGAGAAUGGUUGGUUGGUGCUCUUCAGAUCCUGUUUCGGCUCUCCUCCUUUUAGUGGCGUUGGAGCAUCAAGUGUGGUUUGACUCAAUCAAAAUAAAGAACACGAGAUUAGAGUGUCGCCUUAAGCUGCGGCUAAAAUAAAAAAGAAAGGAUCUAAGUUGUAGGAAAUUAUUUACUUAUUAACAACACAGAAAAAUUCAAUUUUUUUUAAAAAAUUUAACCUUUUAAUAUGAGAUUUGUUUUUUAUGGGAUUAUUUCACUUUCAUGGGUCACGAGUUUAACUAGUUAACUCAAUUGACUGUGUUUUUUAUUUUAUUUUAUUCUUUAAUAAAAUGUAGCAUGAUUAAAGAAGAAAAAUCAAGUUUUUAUUGUGAAAAUAAGGCGGGCAAGCAAUUUAAAGCGGGGAUGAGAACUUCUAAAACCAAAUAAAUAUUUGUUAAUUAUAUGUAUUUAGUAUGUGUUGUUGUGUUAAUGCAUGUAGAUUGAAAUGGAUUUAAUUAUGUUGUUUAGUUGUAAUUAAAUUUUAAAUAUAAUUUAGAAAAAAGAUUGUGAGAAAUUGAUAAAAUAAAUAAUUUGUGGUUAUUUUUGGGUUGUGAAAUACAAAAUAAAUGUUGAUAAUGUUAAGAUUGUGGGAUAAUGAUUUUGGGAUGUUUUGAUAUAGUUUAUUAUAUGUGUACAUAGGAUGACUACAUAGGAUGACUAUAUAGUUAUAUAGGAUGACUAUAUAACGACACCAGGCAAUCUUCAGCAAAACCUGCUAUCCAGGCCCUCUAUGCAAUUGAGGUGACGAGCUGCUUGAAAGGAAGGAAGGUAUUGGACUGGUUGUGUCAGUGUCGGCCUGUUGGGCCUAUUUAGCCCACUCAACUGCUUCAAAGACUUCAGCUAAAGGGACAGCUUUAUAAUCUGACCACAUUGCCUUUUCUUUGCCAUAAAAAUAAGUACUAGCAUUUUGUUGCAGGUGGAAGGGGACGAUCACAUUCUUGUUGCUGCUUUAUCUCUUAUGCCAGCUUGGUUACAGGGAUUUCCUGCAGUCUCCGUUGCUGGAGAACUUUUCUAACCUUGGCAACAGCAUCUAGUCUGAAUCUUGAUAGAUAUAAGCAACUGGUGUCUUGAAGAGUGUGUUUGGUGCACAGCAGUUUGAGUUAUCAACAUCUGACGGGCUAAUUAUGUGGUAUUCUAAGAUGAAUUUGUACUAAAAGGAAAAUGAGUUUUUAAUAUAUUAUGUGGUAUUAUAAGAUGAAUUUGUACUCAAAGGAAAAUGAGUUUUUAAUAUAUUUAAGAUCUGAAUUAAAUGUGUUUUAUGAACACUUGAUUUGAUGUUGUUCAUGUUUCAAUACAACGAGAAUAUUAGUAAAAACUGAAACAAACUAUUGUACGAUUCAAAUCGGAGAACUUAUACAAAUAAGCUUGAUCUAAGCUCCAUACUCAUAGCUUCCUCGCUCUGAUAUUGAAGUAGCUUCAUGUCCUUCAGACCUCUUGAUGAAAAAACUAUCUCCCAUCUAUCGCCGUUAUUGUCAUAUUAUUCACGGUAGGUACCCCAGAAGAUCUCAUCAAUGUUCUUUGUUCUGCCACGUUUCUGCCUGCAACAAAAGCAGGUUGCUUAGGUUCUGGGAGAGCCACGUGUUCGUUUACGAUCAUGGAUAUAACAUCAGACAUUGUAGGCCGAUCAGCAGGACUUUCUUGGACACAAAGAAGCCCUAUGUUUAUGUAUCUCAACAGCGUAGCAGUUGAAGGAGGAUCUCCCAGGCUUGGAUCCAUCAAGUCCGAAGCUUUAUUAGAAUUCCAUAACUUCCAUGCCUAUGGUAUAACAACGCAAAUGCUGCAUCAUUAGUGUGGAAACUAGGAAAGUAGUCAAAUACAAAUCAAAAUGGAAGAAAAAGAAAUAAGCGUAUAUGAAAGCUCCCCACAUGUCCAAGAAGAUUGAGGGAGUCGCUGUGGUAGAAACUAGUAUUCUUCCUGCCGCUUACAAUCUCAAGUACCAGCACCCCGAAGCUAAACACAUCAGAUUUUAUGGAGAAGAGGCCCUCCAUAGCAUAUUCAGGGGACAUAUAGCCACUAAAAAUUGGAAAGGUCAGUGCAGAUCACUUUAAGAGUAGCUGGUACUGGAAAGUGGAAUUCAAGAAACUUACUAUGUUCCAACGAUCCUGUUGGUGUUUGCUUGAGUUUCGUUGCCUCUGAAAAUUCGAGCCAUCCCGAAAUCGGAUAUUUUUGGAUUCAUUUCACUGUCUAAUAGAAUGUUGCUAGGCUUUAAAUCCCUGUGAAUGAUUCGUAACCGUGAAUAUCUAUGUAGAUACAGAAGGCCUUGAGCAAUUCCUUCGAUUAUCCGAAUCCGUGUACCCCAAUCUAGGAUUUGUCCUCUGUUUGCAUCUGUUUAUAGUUUAUACACAAAUCUGAUAUAAAUUUCUUGAUGCAUUUGGAAAGUUAGUGAAAGUUAAUGCAAGAAAAUGCUGACCAAAGAGAAAGAAAUCCAAGCUUUUAUUUGGCAUGUACUCAUAGAUUAGCAUUUUCUCAUCCCGUUCAAUACAGGAACCUAAUAGCCUGACAAGAUUCUGGUGCUGGAGUUUGGCGAUUAGAAUUGUCUCAUUUCUGAACUCCUCAAGCCCCUGCCCAGAUCUUUCUGAAAGCCUCUUCACUGCUAUUUCCAGUCCCUUAGAUAAUUUUCCCUAUUAAAUGAACCAAAAGUAAUUCUGAAAGUUCAUUCAAACUAUUUUAAUUUUUUUCUGAAAAGGUUAGAAUAAUCAUUUGAACGUAACUUACCUUAUAAACAGGUCCAAAUCCUCCCUCUCCAAGCUUGUCUGAGAAUUGUCCAGUUGCAACUGAUACGCUCUCAUAGCUGAACAAUGGCAAUUCCAUAUUCUUACUCCAUCUAUUCUUCCGAUUGUCAACAGAGCAAGAUUCUUUGUUAGUUGAGCUAGGAUCGGUAUCGAAAUCAAAGAGCAAUAAAUCGUGAACUGUAUAUUCCUUCCCUGUUCAAGAAAAAAUUAAAAAUUACUGAACACAAUCACUUUGUUAAAAUAUCCGGCAAUUCUGAUUAUAUCAACCAAAAAUGUAACCGCCUCAGGUUAUAAUAACCACAAUUUCCGGCAUUAAAUGGGAUUCCAAUUGUCAUUUUUCGUCAUGGAAAAAGAAACUUUGGGGUUUGUUUUGGGUUAGAUAUUUUACCCAUAGACAACCUUUUACGUUUUGAACAUUUUAUAUGAGAAGUUUUACUGAGCUCGGUAAGUAAUGAUGUGGAGACAAACACACGAAAAGAACGCAUGGCAUUCUCUGGCUUUAUAAAAGCCGGAGAAAGGGCAUGACGAGGAGGGAGGGAAAAAGACACGAACAAGAAAAGAACGAACGGAGAGAAAAACCAGAGAAGCACAGGAUAGAGAGAGAGAGAGGGAGAAAACCAGAGACACAUACACAACAGAAAACAGAGAGGAAACCAGAAGAACAAGCAAACACUGGAGACAAAGUAAACACAGACAGAACAAAAAGAGAAGAACGAAUAACACAGAGACGAGACGAAGAGCAGGAGACAGACAAAAAACAUACAGAGAGCCGGGAAGAAGCAGAAAAGGAAGGAAACAAAAAAAGAGAGAGGCACAGGAAGAGAAGGCUAAGGAACAGAGGAGAGGGGAGGCCAAUAGCAGAAAGACGAGCACCGAUCGACCUCCAGAACUCUCCUUUCGUUAAUUUGUUUCCCUCCCUUAAGAAAUAAUUCACACAUGCAUGCACAGUGACCAACCGGGUUACUGGUUUGUUCUAGUGACCAGCUGGCCAGCAGCUUCCAACCAAAAAAAUAAAAAUAAAUCUGAGGCCCGGUUGGGUGGUCCAAUUUGUUUUGAGCCGAGGAUGUGUUUUUUAAAACACUUUCUUAUACCAAUCUUCUUUAUUUUAUUAAUUUGUUUUGAUAUUUUAUUAAACAAGUUUUUUUUUUAUAUCAAAAAAUUUUAAAAAAAUUUGUGGAUCCUUUUGAAUUUAUUUGUAGGUCCUCGAGUAUUUUUUUUCCUGACAAUUGCAUUGUAUAUUUGAUUUGUGGAUUUUUACUGUGAAAUGCAAAUCUGAUAUUGAACACAUACCUUUUUUUUACAAAAAUAAUAAUAAUAAAAUAUGUAUUUUGUGUUUUCAAUUCAUAUUUUACUAGUUUAUUUACUGUGACAGAAUCUGGAAUACUAUAUGUUUUUUAGCUACGUAAUAUUUACCAACACCAGAGUUAGAAAUAUUCGUAGUUGAAUAUUUGCUGAUGCCAGAAUCAGGAAUAAUACAAGUAACCCAUCGGUAAUAUAGUAUAACAAACCCUUAACAAUUGAAGGCAAAACCAGCAAUGAAAUCUAUCUUAGAUACGAUGUUAAAGAAGUGAUAAUAUUCAUUAAUGAAUUAAAAUUUUUAGUUGUUAUAAUACUGGGUGAUGACUCUUUAAAUGAAAUUUUUUUUCUCUAAAAUGUAAAAUGUCAAAAAACAUGUUCUUUUCUCCAAAUUAAAUUUGUAAAAGUUACCGUAUCGAUACGAUAACCAGUAACUUCAAGAUUUAAUUAAAUAAAGUCUACCAGCAGACAACGGAAAUUAAAGAAAGAACCAGGAUGUACCUCUGUGUAUGAGCUUUCCCUUGCGCAGACAUCUGAAGUACAUGAAGAGGCCGAAGGUAAUCAGAGUAGUUGGAAUAGCCACAGCCAAGGUUGUCCGUAUUGUCCUUUUGAUAUUACCUACUUGUAAAUAUAGAUCAAAUAUUACAAAAUCAUAAACCAACACCUGUACAAUGGAUUAAAAAGUUUUUUUAUUGUAGAAAAAAUGGAAAGAUAGGUUAUGUAUCUCACUUUUUCCGACAGGGAACACUGCGUCUGCGUUUUUAUCUGCAAAUACAAGACCGUGAUUUUGUCAAAAAUGGUUUCUCGUCAUUUAUUGGAUCAUACUGUCUAUAUGUACAAAGCCAUACCUGUUCGGGUACUGCCAUUACCAAUCUGUAGUUCAAGCUCAGAAGCAGCAAGUCUGAUGUAAAUUUCUGCUCCAGCUCGGUCAUCAGCAACCUCUGAAUUUUGUUGUAAGUUUAUAAGAUCUCCUUCCCAUAAAGAACACCCACUGUUAUUGUUAUAGGCAUAAGCCACGCAAGAACAAAUUUCCAUGCAAUCCAAUCUACAUCUUUCAGCACUCUCUUUCUGAUAUGUUUUUGAAUUUGCAGGUAAUGUCAGAUUCGAAAUCUUUAGGAAUCCAUCUUCCUUUCCAACACUUCUCUUAUUUUGACACCGCAAGGGAGAUUUCCUAACACAACCACUUGACCUAUCAUUUUGCACUAAUGCUUUAAAACCUUUCAGGCAUUCACAAGAGCUCGAUGAAUUUUGAAAGACUCCAAAAACCCCGCAUAAACCAUAAACUUCAGCUUGGUCUUUUGGUUGAGCCCAAACACCUUCCAACCAAGAGAGUUGUUGAAUCUGUCCUGAAACACCAAUCACGAAUCUUGAAAGAACCGAGGUAUUGUACAAGGAAUAGGUGAAAUAGCUUUCAUUUUCAUUUGAUACAUGACUAAACUUUAAAAUAUUGUUCAAUCUCAUCUCAGGCACCAAGGCAAAUGUUUCUCCAUCCCAAUCACCACUGCUCCAAUACCUUUGUGACCUGUUCCACUCUAUGAAAAGCUGACUGCUUCCAUUUGGGUCGAUCCCAACCGAGAACAUACCUGGUGCAGGGUCUUCUGCGUUUUUCCAGGAAAUAAGCCGCUGCACUUGCCCAGUGUGCUUGUUGAUCCAAAGCUUUCCACCAGGUAGCCAAGUGUCAGUUGGAUAAUCGAAACUCUGCCAAUAUAUGGUAGCUGGAUUUGAGCCAUCUCUUAAGACAAAGUUUCCAUCAUCAAGAAGUACUGCUUCUGCUUUACUAGUAUAAUUCGGCACUGAAGAUGUUGGCCAAACUGUUUCGGUGGAUUGUGUCAGUAGGACAAGAAAGCCAUCAUCUGACAAUUCAAGCGUCGAUGAAGCUGGGUCGUUUGCAGGGCUCUCCCUGUUUGCCACCCAAACAAUCGUCUUAUCUGUGGAGUUCUUAUACCAUAUUCCCAGGUAAAUGCUAAAAGAAGCGCCUGGCUGGAAGAAACCGAGUUCAAAAGUGCCGUUUUGAGAUAUUAGUGUCUAGCUCGCAGAGAGAGAUUGGCCAACCAAAAGGGUAUCGCCUACAAUGGAGAAGCAAGUCCUAUGGGAAACGAAUAGCAACAACAGCACAAAGAGCAAAAAACGUGGCUUUGUCUCAACACACAUCCUUUGUAGUUCGUGGGAUUAAGGGUGAAAGAGCUGUGACUGAGCAUGAAUCAGAGAAAGAGGAAGGGAAAAAAAACAAGAAAUCCCUUGUGAAUUCAUCAACUAUAUGAUAAUGCUCGAGAUCUCUCGUCAUAUUGUAGCUGUCAGCUCUUAGCAAUAAUUUUCCACAUUGACUAGGACUUUUCUGUUCUCGCUAUCCCCUCCAAUUAAAGGCUAUGCCAUUUAUUUUUUGAGUCAUGUAAUGCCGAAAUGUGGGUUGAAUUGUCAAAUUACAGUAAAAAUAUCAAUAAUAUAAUGAUGCAAAUCAGGAGGAGACCGAGGAAGGAACCCUGUAACACACAAACACUACUUGAAGACAAAAACAUGGGAAACCAAGGAAUCGUGAAAGCUGAUUAAAAGCUUACUAGCUGUAGUUAUUAUUUCCUAGUCUAGCUAUAGUUAUUAUUUUCCUAGUUAGCUGGCAGUUUUCUAGUUAGACUAGGAUUAGAGUUCAAAUACAUAUUAGAUUAUAAUUCAUUAAAUAUAGGGUAUUUAAGAGGAGAGCAUAACAUAAGAAACGACAGUUUUGUAAUCAAGCAAUUUGUUAUUCUGAAAUACAAAUUCUGGAGUGAUUCCUCUACAGAGAGAUUCUGCAUUAGAUUGUUGUUCUUAUUGCAAGCAACGAGAUGUUGCAGCAGAGAGCAAUUACACCAAAUUGGUAUCAGAGCGGUUCAUGACUGUAACCCGGAGCGGUUCAUGACUGUAACCCGGAGCAGUAAUUCCUAUCCAAUGUCAAACAGCUCAGUCCAUACUAAUUCCCCAUGUGAACAUACAGACUUACAACAACAAAUCAUCCAUAUCACCACCGUGUUAGAACAACUUGCUAAUCGAAUGGAUGCUGUGGAUGAACGUAGAGCAAGGUCUCCCAAUAGAAAGGGGCGUGGACAAUUUCGUGAGGUGGCACCAGGGGAAAAUCUGGACGCUGAGUAUAGAGAUGUUGAACCCAGCACCAUCGACCACAGCAUCACAGAGAAGAGGUACCACGACACCUGCACCAUAACAGAGAAGAACUUCCACGACACCGUGACAGGCGAGGACUGGAGACUUAACCAAUCGAUGAACUCACCAAGCGAAUGAAGGUGGAUGUGCCUGACUUUUAUGGUAAACUAGAACCACAUGCUUUCGAAGAUUGACUAAUUGCCAUUGAAGACUAUUUUGAUUGGUUUGAUGUAUCGGAAGACCGAAAGGUUCGGUAUAUCAGGAUGAAAUUAAAAGGACAUGCUUGUGUCUGGUGGGGAAGCGUAGAAGAACAACUGCGACGAACUCAACGCCCACCAAUCUCAAACUGGGAGGAGAUGAAGGAACGAUUGAAAGAGAAAUAUUUACCAAUUGAUUAUGAACAAAUGAUGUUUGAAGAAAUGUUGCAACUAAGGCAGCGGCCUUAAUAGUGGAUCAAUAUACAGACAGGUUCCAUGAAUUGACUGUUCGUAGCAGGAUUACAGAGACCGAUCAACAGACACUAGCCCGAUAUCGCAAUGGCCUACGUGGGGAACUAUACAAAGAAAUGCUAAUCGCAAGACUCAUCACGAUGGAAGAAGCAUACCAACUGGCACUGCGUAUUGAGAAACAAUUAGGGAACACAACCGGUAAGAAAGUCAUGCCAAUGGAGGGAAAACCAGGACAUUCGACAAACUUUUCCAUCCAAAAACCACACUUACCAUAUGACAGAUCAGGUGGCUCAAUACUGGGAGAACAAAGAGGAAAAGCAAAGAUUACAAGUGAUGGUCCACAGUGCUACAAAUGCAAAGGAUUCGGACACUAUGCUGUGGUGUGCCCCACUAGAGAUAAGAAGCUUGCCUUUAUAUGUGAAAAAGAGCUGACAGUAAUGGGUGAGGCGAAAGGAGAGAAAACUGAAGAGCUUACAACUGAGAAGGAGGAACACCUGGACGCUUAUGAUCUUCCAAGCUGUGUUAUUCAUCGAAUAUUAACAGGAAACAAAACUGAACUCAGAACAAAUCAGGAUUGGUUAUGCACCAACAUCUUCCAUACGCGACUAGAACAUGGAGGCAAAGCACUCAAUGUGAUAAUCGAUAAUGGCAGUGGUAUGAAUGUAAUAUUUGAAACAGCAGUAGAACGACUGCAUUUGAAGACCGAGACACACCCAUCUCCCUACCGAAUAAGUUGGGUCAAUGAACACAACUCAGUCUUAGUAAAACACCGUUGCCUAGUACAAUUCUCAUUAGGAAGAGAGUAUGUAGAUGAAGCAUGGUGCGAUAUCAUUCCGAUGAUCGUCUGCCACAUGUUAUUGGGACGCCCAUGGCUUUACGACAGAAGAGUCUCUUAUAAUGGUUACACCAAUACCUAAUCUUUCCAGUUUAAAGGCAAGAAGCUAGUCCUAGUCCCACUACCGAUUGUAGAAUUUGAAACAACACAAAAACAGGUACCAGUAUUAAAUAUGAGGCAGUUCUCUCAAGUUGUCAAUGGAGAACAAAUGUUGCUGUUUGUAGUAAGGCGCGAAGUGAAACAAACUGAUGGCCUAGUGCCCAAGGAGCUGGCAUCCAUACUGAAAAAAUUCCAAGACAUCAUGCCAGAUGAGAUGCCCCACCAACUGCCACCAAUGCGGGAUGUACAACACGCAAUUGAUAUCAUCCCAGGGUCAUCUUUACCCAAUUUACCUCAUUACAGGAUGAGCCUUGUGGAGAAUGAGGAGCUCAACCGACAGGUCCAACAGCUAAUGGAUAGAGGAUUCAUCCGAGAGAGCCUUAGUCCCUGUGCAGUUCCAAUACUCCUCACACCAAAAAAAGAUGGAAGCUGGAGGAUGUGUGUCGACAGUCGAGCAAUUAAUAAAAUAACAGUCAAAUACCAAUUCCCAAUCCCCCAGCUGGAUGACAUGUUGGACUUACUAAACGACGCCUCUAUUUUUACCAAAAUUGAUCUACGUAACGGAUAUCAUCAAAUUCGCAUUCGUCCUAGAGACGAAUGGAAGACAACAUUCAAAACAAAAGAGGGGCUAUUUGAAUGGCUAGUCAUGCCUUUCGGAUUAACCAAUGCACCAAGCACCUUCAUGCGUGUUAUGACACAAAUUCUCAAACCAUUCCUGGGAAAAUGUGUUGUGGUAUACUUUGAUGAUAUCUUAAUUUUCAGCAACUGUUUGCAGGAUCACUUAGCACAUGUGGAGCAAGUCUUAACAACAUUACAAGCAGAGCAACUCUAUAUUAAUCAUGCCAAAUGUUCAUUCCUGAAGAAGAAAGUCUAUUUCUAGGCUUUAUCAUUUCCAGCAAAGGUGUUGAAGUGGAUCCCGCAAAAAUACAAGCCAUUCAAAUUGGCCAACACCUCAAAAUGUCUCUGAGGUCCGUAGCUUUCAUGGCCUAGCUACAUUUUAUCGACGUUUUAUCCGUAAUUUCAGCACUAUCAUGGCCCCAAUAACCGAAUGCCUAAAGGGUACCAAUUUCAAAUGGACAACAGCAGCAAACAAAGCCUUUGUUGACAUCAAGGAUAAGCUAGGGAAUGCACCAGUACUAAGACUCCCUGAUUUCUCCAAACUCUUUGAAGUCGCUUGUGAUGCUUCACAUAUAGGAAUCGGGGGGGUUCUAAGUCAAGAAGGACAUCCAAUCGCUUUUUAUAGCGAAAAGCUCAAUGAUACUCGUCAGAGAUAUUCAACAUACGACAUGGAAUUUUAUGCCUUGAUUCAGACAAUUAAACAUUGGCGUCCAUACCUGAUCCAUAGAGAAUUUAUCCUUUACACAGAUCAUGACUCUUUGAAAUACCUUGGCUCUCAAAGCAAACUCAACCCAAGGCAUUCCGUUGGACAACAUAUCUGCAACAAUUUGAUUUCAUCAUCAAACACAAAGCAGGGACAGAAAAUAAAGUGGCUGACGCACUAAGUCGACGACCCCACCUGCUACAAAUGUUCUCAGCUCAUGCUACUGGCUUUGAAGAAAUUAAGACUCAAUACACUGAUGAUGAUGAUUUUGGCACAAUAUGGAGCAAUUUACAAGCCAAAAUCACGAUCACUGGAGGAGACUAUUCACUGAAGGAUGAUUACUUAUUUUGUGGUACUAGGCUCUGCAUCCCCAAAGGAUCACUCCGUGACUUCAUCAUCACCGAACUCCAUAGUGGUGGAUUGGCCGGACAUUUUGGCUAUGACAGGACAUAUGCCAUAGUUGUUGAUCGGUUCUACUGGCCUCGAAUGCGUAAAGAUGUGCACAAAGUGGUUGAUAGGUGCAGGAUUUGUCAACUAAACAAAGGAACUAAAAACGAAGCUGGACUCUACACACCCUUCCCAAUCCCAGACCACCCAUGGCAGCACAUUAGCAUGGACUUUGUUCUCGGAUUGCCCAGGACUGUGCGACAAAAUGAUUCAGUUAUGGUAGUAGUUGAUAGAUUCUCAAAAAUGGCUCAUUUCAUCCCCUGCAACAAGACCUUUGAUGCAUCCAAGGUAGCAGUUUUAUUCUUACAAGAGGUGAUCAGACUACAUGGUGUACCCCUCUCCAUUGUGUCUGACAGAGAUGUCAAAUUUGUUAGCUAUUUUUGGAAGACUUUAUGGUCAAAAAUGGGGACAAAGUUAAAGUUUUCCAGUGCAUUCCACCCACAGACAGAUGGCCAGACUGAAGUCCUCAACAGAAGUUUGGGAAACCUGCUACGCUGCCUCAUUGCAGAUCAUGCAACCAGCUGGGACCUUGUGCUCCCACAAGCAGAGUUUGCUAUUAAUAAUUCUGUUAAUAGAUCUACAGGACACACACCAUUUGAAGCAGUAUAUGGGAGACGACCCUACACCCCCAUGGAUCUUAAACCAAUACCCUUGCCUCCGAGACCAAGUGAAGCUGGCUUGGAUUUUUCAGAAUACAUAAGAGAUGUUCAUGCAGAGGUCAAAAGACGUCUGUCACUCAAUACUGAAGCAUAUGUCGCCUCUGCCAAUGUUAGGCGCAAGGACAAACAAUUUCACAGUGGUGACAUGGUGCUGGUUCAUCUCAAACUAGAAAGAUUUUUUUCAAGAAGUUUCUCUAAACUACAUGCACGUCGUGCGGGUCCUUUUUGUAUUAUUAAGAAAUUAGGCAACAAUGCCUAUAUCAUAGACUUACCUUCUGAAUUUGGCAUUAGUCUAGUUUUCAACAUUGAAGACAUUACUGCCUUUAAAAGUGAUGAAGAUGUUUCAAGUCAUACUUCCAGAACAAAGGAAAUGCCAGCGUGCCUUCCUAAAGUCUCUACAACCACCACACCACAAGAGGACAUUGCCUCAAUCAUGGAUCACCAGUUCGUUUCUACGCUUCGCGGGGGAUAUUACAAAUUCUUAGUCCACUGGCGACAUCGACCCCUAUCCGACUCUGCAUGGGUCAAAGGUACUGAGCUUCAGCGUCUGCACCCAGAGUUGUUUACUGCAUAUGUUCACCAUAACUCGCCAGAGUCAAGUUCUUCAGAGGAGUUAGCAAUUGAUGCAAAUCAGGAGGAGACAGAGGAAGGAACCCUGUAACACACAAAGACUAAUGGAAGACAGAAACAUGGGAAACCAAGGAAUCGUGAAAGCUGAUUAAAAGCUUACUAGCUGUAGUUAUGAUUUCCUAGUCUAGCUGUAGUUAUUAUUUUCCUAGUUAGCUGGCAGUUUCCUAGUUAGACUAGGAUUAGAGUUCAAAUACGUAUUAGAUUAUAAUUCAUUAAAUAGAGGGUAUUUAAGAGGAGAACAUAACAUAAGAAAUGACAGUUUUGUAAUCAAGCAAUUUGCUAUUCUUAAAUACAAAUUCUGGAGUGAUUCCUCUACAAAGAGAUUCUGCAUUAGAUUGUUGUUCUUAUUGCAAGCAACGAGAGGUUGCAGCAGAGAGCAAUUACACCAUAUAAGGCAUUGAAGAAAGAGAAAUUUAGAUUUUUUGAGUCAUGUAUUAUAUGCUCUUAGUUUUUAUUUUUUUUGUUUUCAUUUUAUUUUAAAAAACGCAUCGAGGAAGAGUAGAAAAAGAGAAAGGGGGUGUUCAAUAAUGAGUUGCAUAUUUGUUUUUAUGGCUGAAAUAAUUUUUUUGAAAUAAUUUUUUUUAAAUCAUUUUAAUAUCUUUGUAUCCAAAAUAAAUUUUAAAAAAUAAAAAAUAUUUUAUUAAUAUAUUUCCUAAUAAAAAUUAAUCACUUUUGAAAACAAUUAUUAAUUUUAUUUUUCUCAUUGCCUAUUUUAAUUUAUUACUCUUUGUUUGUUUUUUAAGAGGAUUUUUUCAUUAAACAAUUACCACAGUAAUAGUAGACUUGAAAUGUCUAUUAAUAAUUAAUAAAGUUUCAUUCUAUUCUUUGGGUGCCUAUUAGGAUUUAGGACUAUUUUAAUUACAGUCCAUUUCAAAGUCAAAGAUGAAUACAUGUAGUCUACGCCAUAUUUGGUGAGAAAUAUAUAAGAAGAUAAAUCUUUCUAAAAUUCUUUUAAAAAAAUUGGCGAUUUAAAUUUUAGAUCAGUUAGGAAUCAUAAUUCUAAUAUUUCAUAAUCUAUUUUAUAUAUAUAUUCCGUGCUGUCGAUAUACUAAAAUAAAUAUUUGCGGAAGUCCAAAACUAUCUCUAUCAAAACAGGACCAACCCAUCACACACUCACCUUUGAAAAUCAAUUUACUGUAAAAUUUAGCUGAUGCCAAUACGGAGAAUCCAUCAAAAUCCCAUUUUAGCUUCUGCAUUAUCAAAUAUAUAAUAAAGCAUCCAAAAACAAUUUAAGAUUAACAUAUAAGAAAAUCAUAAUGCUCAUUUCAAUUGUAUAAAACCCCAUCAGACAGAAUUUCUCUUUUGAUGAAUGGGCGAUUUUCAUUUAUCAAAGAACGACUUAACAGGAAAUCAAGUUCUACUUACAGACAGAGAAUCUUGUAUAAGUUUAAGAUCUCCUCCUUAAGUUAUUGACUUAAAAAGAUGCUGUGUGUGGUCCUGCACCAUGUGAUGGUGGGAUCACCACAUUAAUUAGUAAGACAAUGUCAGCUGGUGGGACAAUAUUUAUGACCACGAAAGCUCUAUUUCUGAAGAUGCCCUCAGGAUUUUGGUGAGUCUAAAGAAGGGUUCUGAGGGAAGGAAGCGGGGGGGUUAGAGGUGAAGAGAGAAGGGCAUUUGUGUGUGUUUUGUUAGUAAAAACAGAUGCCACCAGUGUGCCUUUUUGCAUAAUAAAACGAUGUCUUCUGAGGACUGUUGACACUUCUUUUGGCCUUCAGUAAACCCUGAAAGAUUGAAACUUUUUAUUUUUUCUUUUAUUUUUUUUAUUAUGGUAGAGAGUACUAAUCAAAAGAGUCAUUUAGAAGAUAACCCUUGAAAAAUUGAAUGAUUAUUUUCAGGAAAAUGAAAUGCAUGCAUUGCAAAUGAGAUAAGGGGAAACAUAAAAAACAUAAUAGGAAAGAGCCAAGGAAUUAUUGAUGUGUAAUUGUCCACAUUUAAAUAUUGUCAUGAGAUCAUUACCAGUAUAGUUGAAAUUAAGUUCGUUUUACUUUAGUUAAACUGACAAUUUAUGCAAAAUCGAAGAAAAAUUAGAAUUUUAAUUCGGCUGCACCAUAUUAAAAACAAGAUGAUUUCUUACGAGCCAAACAAUUCCAGUUAUGCUGAAGGAAAGGAAAUUUAUGAAAUCUACUUUUCACUAGAAGACUACUGACAAAUAAAUAAAUCCAAAGUCUUUAUUCUUUAGAUCUCUGAUGAAGUAGCUUCAUGUCCUUUAGACCUCUUGAUGAAAAAAUUAUCUCCCAUCUAUCGCUGUUAUUCACGGAAGGUACCCCAGCUCAUCAACGGUCUUUGUUCUGCCACGUUUCUGCCUGCAACAAAAGCAGCAGGUUGCUUAGGUUCUGGGAGAGCUGCUUGUUCAUUUACAAUCAUGUGGAUAACAUCAGACAUUGUAGGCCGAUCAACAGGAAUUUCUUGGACACAAAGGAGUCCCAUGUUUAUGUAUCUCAACAGCGUAGAAGUUGAAGGAGGAUCAAUCUGUUGGUGGGAGAAACCACUGGUGGUGGCUUUGAAACACUCAGAGGGGAUAAAACACACUGUUUUAUUACACAAAUCCGAAGCUUACAAUUAACACAAAACAAAAGCUUACAAUUACACGCCCUCUCUCUCUCUAUUCUCUUUCAAGUGUUCCUCUCAAUUCUCUCCACACAAUAUAACAGAGGCUGGGCACUCUAUUUAUACACGAAAUCAAAACAAGAAAAUUCAACCUUUAAGUGUGAAGGCGGCUGGCGGCUGCGGCUGGUGGCUGGUCGGUUGGUGGCUGGUCGGUGGCAGCUGGUGGUUGCCUUCCUUGACCAUCUAGAUGUUGAGUUUAAUUCAACAAAUCUCCCCUUUAAACUCAAUCGAGGGAUGUCAUGCCAAGCAUGAACACUUCUCCUUUCAAUGCCUUCUUUCUGCUUGUAGACCCUUUUGACACCUAUUGCUUUCUUCUUUUCUGGUGGGUCCUUAUCUGCAUGGAAACAAAACAGAGUUGUAUCUUCCAUGACCUGAGUGGUAUCGUACAACUCUUCAAGAUUCCUCAUCCUUCUUGGUCCUUCUGAUGAGGAUGCUGAUGGUGGUGUUGAUGAUGAUGCUCCUGGUGUGUUCCUCCUGUUGAAUACAGGGAAUCUGUGUACCGGACUUUGUGGUUCAGUUGCUGGUAUAAACACCGGACUUUGUGGUUCAGCUGCUGGCACAAUUGGUUCUUUUGCAGGUACAAUCGGUUCUUCGACAAGUACUGUUGGUACUUCUUCACCUUCAAGGAUCAAAUCAGUGUUGAUCCAUCUGACUGCUUCUUGAUCAUCAUUCCAUGCCCAAGAUUUAUCUUCUUCAAAGAUAACAUCUCUACUUGUAAUCACCUUCUUCGUGAUAGGAUUAUACAGCCUGUAUCCCAUCCUUCUUUCACCAUAUCCGACAAAGAUGCAUUUCUCGCUCUUAUCAUCGAGCUUUCUCCUUCUUGCAUCUGGGAUCUUUGCAUAUGCCACACAACCAAAGACUCGUAGAUGAGUAACACUUGGUUUGUGACCACUCCAUGCUUCUUCUGGAGUGACUCCUUGCAAACUUCUGGUUGGGUAGCGAUUCAGUAGAUACACUGCACAUGAUACAGCUUCAGCCCAGUAUUGCUUGGGCAACUUCUUUGCUUUGAGCAGACUUCUGGCCAUGUCAAGAAUCGUGCGAUUCUUCCUUUCUGCUACACCGUUCAGCUGUGGUGUAUAAGCUGGUGUCAUUUGAUGUCUGAUGCCUUGUUGUGUACAAUAGGCUUCAAAGUCAUUUGCUGUAUAUUCUCCACCUUGAUCAGAUCUCACUGUUCUGAUCGUGUAACCAGUUUGCUUCUCCACAAUUGCUUUAAAAUCUUUAAAACAAUUGAAUACUUCUGACUUCCUCUUCAGAAAGUAUAUCCACGUCUUUCUACUAAAAUCAUCAGUAAAAGUGAGGAAGUACCUAUUUUGUCCAGUCGACAUAGGCGUAAUUGGGCCACACACAUCUGUGUGUACUAACUCCAGUGGCCUCUUUGCUCUCCAGUUGACUUCUUUGGCAAAACUGGAUCUGUGAUGUUUGCUGAGGACACAACUCUCACAGACUUCAUCUGGAUGAUCAAUGUGAGGCAAACCUUUGACCAUCUUCUUGCUUGCUAGCAUCUUCAACUCGUGAAAUUCAGAUGUCCAAGCCUCAGGUGCCAAAGCCAUUCUUCACUGUUGGUGAUGGCACUCAAACACCUUGUUGCAUCAUACUGGAUGUUCAAAGGAAACAUCCUAUUCUUGGACAUUUUCACGUAGGCCAUUAAUCUCCCAUUGUUGUCUCUAAUUGUCAGAUGACAAUUCUUCGAGUAAAAACUAUAUCCUCUCUCCAAAAGUUGACCUAAGCUGAUCAGGUUCUGCUUUAUGGCUGGGACAUAAUACACAUCGGCGAUGUAGCUGGAAUCGCCAUUCUUCAACUUGACUGGGAUGUGCCUUUACCUUUGAAUGGAACCUUUGUGGUAUCUCCAAAAGUAACUAGACCUUGCUUGGUCUCAUCUAGAUCACCAAAUAACUCUCGGUAGCCGCACAUGUGAUUGCUGGCUCCAGUAUCUAGAUACCAUAUAUUUCUGUUUCUCGCCAAGUUCUUGUUGGACAAGAAAUGCAGAUGCUUCUCCAUCAUGCUUCUCUACAUAGUUGGCUUGCUCACGUAUCUCCAACGGAGCUUUCCAUCGCAUUCAGUGCUAUAGUGCCCAAAUUGAUUGCAGCUAUAACAUUUGAUAUUCUCUUGUCACGGUUAUUGUAACCGCCUCCUCUUCCUCUAGGAGUGAAUGCUUGUUGGCCUCGGCCUCCUCUGGUGGUGUUUCUGCCACCUCUUCCUCUAAGCUUGUAUUCCAAGAACCUCUUCCUCUGGAAUCUAUGAAUCCUCCUCUGGAUUGUUGACUUCCUCUUGAGUGGUGUAGCCACUGUGAAGUCUCCCCUUGCUCAUAUCUGUCCUUGAAAGACAGCUUUGCUUGUAAGGCAUGCUCAAUGGCCUUAUCUUCAUUUCGCAUUACAAUCUUCUGCUCAUGAGCUUGCAAAGAACUCAUAAGCUCAUCCACUGUCAACUUGUCCACUUCCUUGGACUCUUCAAUUGCGACAACAACAACAUGAUCAAAUUUUGGAUCUAUGGAUCUCAAAAUUUUCUCAAUAAUUCGAGUAUCUAUGAUGGCUUCUCCAUUUCUCUCAUCUGAUUGACUAUCACCAUAAUCCUUGUAUGAUAAUCAGAAAUAGAUUCUGAGGACUUCAUUCGUAAUAAUUCGAAUUCUCCUCUCAAAGAUUGAAGACGAAUCUUCUUGAUUCUGUCAGCACCUUUGUAUUUCUGUUGGAGAGCCUCCCAUAUAUCAUGUGACGUUUCAGCGGAAGCUAUUAUCUCGAAUGUAUCUUCAUCAAGACCUUGAUAGAUGAUGGUCUUUGCUUUGUUGUCCUUCUUUCUGUUGACUUUGAGGGCUUGCUUCUGUGCCUCUUGUAAAGCAUCUUCUCUUUCUUUGGACUCUGGUUCAUCAUAACCAGUUUGUACAAUAUCAAACACUCUUGUGACCCAAGAAAUGCCUUCAAUCUGAUGCACCAACUAUCAUAGUUGUCUUUGGUCAGCUUCGGAUGAGUGUAUGUGUACCUUCUGUAGUCAUUUUGCUCUUUUAAUGACUAUAUCGCCUUCUGGGAGCCGAAUUUGACCAAACGGACACUGUAGAUCGAUCCGGAAUGGUCCAAAUAGUCGGGAACCGGUCUGACUUUGUUGAAAUCGGGUCAGAAAAUGGGUGAACCGGUCAAAAAACCAAUUCUGUACGGCGGGCGGUUCGCUGGGUUGAACCGGGAAUAUUCUGGGAAUAUUCGGGAAUAUUCCUUCGGCUCGGCUGGCGCGUCGGCGCGGUCGCGGGCUCGGCUCGGCUGGACUCGGGUGGCUCGGCUUGGACUCGGCGUAUACGGCUCGGCGCGGCUCAAAUGGCGCGCGUGCUCAGUCGUCUUCAACCUCGGGCGCGUGGCUGCGCGUGGGCUCUGGCAGAAUCUUCAGGCGGCGUGUGUGGCUACCCGCUCCGAUAGGCUGAUUUUUGCGGCAGUGAGUUCGUCUUGAUGAGCUCUACACUGUGGAAUGAUCAAAACUUGUUUUUGACAACUUUGAAAAUUCGGAUAUACCCCAAAACUCUUCUGUUUUCCGACGAACGGGGCUCUGAUACCAAUUAUUGGUGGGAGAAACCACUGGUGGUGGCUUUGAAACACUCAGAGGGGAUAAAACACACUGUUUUAUUACACAAAUCCGAAGCUUACAAUUAACACAAAACAAAAGCUUACAAUUACACGCCCUCUCUCUCUCUAUUCUCUUUCAAGUGUUCCUCUCAAUUCUCUCCACACAAUAUAACAGAGGCUGGGCACUCUAUUUAUACACGAAAUCAAAACAAGAAAAUUCAACCUUCAAGUGUGAAGGCGGCUGGCGGCUGUGGCAGCUGUGGAGGCGGCUGGCGGCUGCGGCUGGUGGCUGGUCGGUUGGUGGCUGGUCGGUGGCAGCUGGUGGUUGCCUUCCUUGAACAUCUAGAUGUUGAGUUUAAUUCAACACAAUCUCCCAGGAUUGGAUCCAUCAAGUCCAAAGCUUUAUUAGAAUAUUUCCAUAACUUCCAUGCCUGCGGUAUAACAACGCAAAGUUGCAUCGUUAGGGUGGAGACUAGGAAAGUAAUCAAAUAAAAUUCAAGCAGGAAGAAAAAGAAAAAGGGAGUAUAUGAAAGCUCCCCCCAUGUCCAAGAAGAUUGAGGGAGUCGCUGUGGUAAAAAUUGGAAAGGUCAGUGCAGAUCAUGUUAAGAGUAGAAUUCAAGAAACGUACUAUGUUCCAACGACCCUGCUGGUGUUUGCUUGAGUUUCAUUGCCUCCAAAAAAUUCGAGCCAUCCAGAAUCGGAUAUUUUUGGAUUCAUUUCACUGUGUAAUAGAAUAUUGCUAGGUUUUAAAUCCCUGUAAAUGAUUCGUAACUGUUGCUACCAAUUUUUUAUUUUAUUUUGGAAAAAAUUUCAAAAAACCCAAAAUAUAACAAAAAACUAAAAAAUAUAUUCUUCAAGUCUUUGCGUCGUCUGUAGUGUUUUUUUCUACGCGUUCUUGUUAACCCAGUUCAAAAAUGUCGUUUUCAAAUAUUAAUGUCUGUCUUCCAGAGAGAGACUGGCCACUCAAAAGGAUAUCAGCUCCAAUGGAAAAGCAAGUCUUGUGAGAAACGGAUAGCAACAAUAGCGCAAAAAGCAAGAAACCUGGCUUUGUCACGUCGCGCCUCCUCUUUAAUUCGUGGGAUUAAUGGUGUUUGAGAAUUGUCCAGUUGCAACUGAUACGCUCUCAUAACUGAACAAUGGCAAUUCCAUAUUCUUACUCCAUCUAUUCUUCCGAUUGUCAACAGAGCUAGAUUCAUUGUUAGUUGAGCUAGGAUCGGUAUCGAAAUCAAAGAGCAAUAAAUCGUGACCUGUAUAUUCCUUCCCUGUUCAAGAAAAAAUUAAAAAUUACUGAACACAAUCACUUUGUUAAAAUAUCCAGCAAUUCUGAUUAUAUCAACCAAAAUGUAACCACUUCAGGUUAUAAUAACCAAAUUUCCGACAUUAAAAGGGAUUCCAAUUGUCAAUUUUGUCAUGAAAAAAGAAAUUUAAUUUGGUGUUUGUUGGGGUUAGAUAUUUUACCACAGACAACCUUUUACGUUUUGAACAUUUUAUAUGAGAAGUUUUACUGAGCUCGGUAAGUAAUGAUGUGGAGACAAACACACCAAAAGAACGCAUGGCAUUCUCUGGCUUUAUAAAAGCCUGAGAAAGGGCAUGACGAGGAGGGAGGGAAAAAGACACGAACAAGAAAGAACAAACGGAGAGAAAAAACCAGAGAAGCACAGGAUAGAUAGAUAGAUAGAUAGAUAGAGAGAGAAGAGAGAGAGAGAUAGAGAGAAUAGAGAGAGAGAGAGAGAGAGAGAGAGAUAGAGAGAGAGAGAGGAGAACCAGAGACACAGACAUGGAGGAACAAACAGGGCGAACCAGCACGGAAACAGGGACGCAAAACACAAAAGAAAACAGAGAGGAAACCAGAAGAACAAGCAAACACAAGAGACAAAGUAAACACAGACAGAACAAAAGGAGAAGAACGAAUAACACAGAGACGAGACGAAGAGCAGGAGACAGACAAAAAACACAAAGAGCCGGGAAGAAGAAGAAAAGGAAGGAAAGAAAAACAGAGUGAGGCACAGGAAGAGAAGGCUAAGGAACAGAGGAGAGGGGAGGCCAAUAGCAGAAAGACGAGCACUGAUCUUCUUCCAGGACUCCAGCAACAAAACACCACCUCCAGGUAAGCUCCUUUUCGUUUCCCUCCCUUUAGAAAUAAUUACCCUGUCACUGUGCAAAGCAUGCGUGAAUAAUUCACGCAUGCAUGCACAGUGACCAGCCGGGCCGGACCAGUUAUCAAGUUCAGUUCAUAUGAGAUGAGUUAGAUCUAGAAAAAAAAAAAAAAAUGAGGUCAAGCUGGAUCUGGGCUUCAACCCAUCCAGUCCAAUUUGUUUUUGGGCAAGGAUGUGUUUUUAAAAACACUUUCUUAUGCUAAUCUUCUUAAUUUUAUUUAUUUGUUUUGAUAUUUGAUCAAACAAACUUCUUUUUUAUAUUAGAAAAUUUUAAAAAAAUUUGUGGACUUUUUUAAAUUUAUUUUUAGGUCCCUCCAGUAUUUGUUUCCUAACAAUUUCAUUAUAUAUUUAAUUUGUUGAUUUUUACUGUGAAAUAAUAAUAAUAAUAAUAAUAAUAAUAAUAAAUGAUGAUUUUUUAAUCUAAAAAGUAAAAUGUCGAAAAACAUGUUCUUUUCUGCAAAUAAAAAAUUUAAAAGUUACCAUAUCGAUACGAUAACCAGUAACUUCAAGAUUUAAUUAAAUUAAGUCUACCAGCAGACAACGGAAAUUAAAGAAAGAACCAGGAUGUACCUCUGUGUAUGAGCUUUCCUUUGCGCAGACAUCUGAAGUACAUGAAGAGGCCGAAGGUAAUCAGAGUAGUUGGAAUAGCCACAGCCAAGGUUGUCCGUAUUGUCCUUUUGAUAUUACCUACUUGUAAAUAUAGAGAUCAAAUAUUACAAAAUCAUAAACCAACACCUGUACAAUGGAUUAAGAAGUUUUUUUAUUGUAGAAAAAAUGGAAAGAUUGGUUAUGUAUCUCACUUUUUUCGACAGGGAACACUGCGUCUGCGUUUUUAUCUGAAAAUACAAGACCGUGAUUUUGUCAAAAAUGGUUUCUCGUCAUUUAUUGGAUCAUACUGUCUAUAUGUACAAAGCCAUACCUGUUCGGGUACUGCCAUUACCAAUCUGUAGUUCAAGCUCAGAAGCAGCAAGUCUGAUGUAAAUUUCUGCUCCAGCCCGGCCAUCAGCAACACCUGACUGUUUUAAGUUUAUAAGAUCUCCUUCCCAUAAAGAACACCCACUGUUAUUAUUAUUGGCAUAAGCCACGCAAGAACAAAUUUCCAAGCAAUCCAAUCUACAUCUUUCAGCACUCACUUUCUGAUAUGUUUUUGAAUUUGCAGGUAAUGUCAGAUUCGAAAUCUUUAGGAAUCCAUCUUCCUUUCCAACACUUCUCUUAUUUUGACACUGCAAAGGAGAUUUCCUAACACAUCCACUUGACCAAUCAUUUUGUACUAAUGGUUUAAAACCUUUCAGGCAUUCACAAUAGCUUGAUGAAUUUUCAUUAAAGACUCCAAAAGCCCCACAUAAACCAUAAACACCAGCAUGGUCUUUUGGUUGAGACCAAAAAAGAAACCACUGCCACCAACCUUCAAACCAAUAGAGUUGUUGCAUAUGUCCUGAAACACCAAUCACGUAUCUUAAAAGAUAUGAGGCAUUGUAAAAAGAAUAGGUGAAAUAGCUUUCAUUUUCAUUUGAUACAUAACUAUAGUUGAAAAUAUAGUCGAAUGUCAUCUCAGGUACCAAGGCAAAUCUUUCUCCAUCCCCACCACUGCUCCAAUACCUGUGUGACCUGUUCCACUCUAUGAAAAGCUGACUGCUUCCAUUUGGGUCGAUCCCAAUCGAGAACAUACCUGGUGCAGGAUCAUCUGAGUUUUUCCAUGAAAUAAGCCGCUGCACUUGCCCAGUGUGCUUGUUGAUUCCAAGCUUUCCACCAGGUAGCCAUGUGUCAGUUGGAUAAUCGAAACUCUGCCAAUAUAUGGUAGCUGGAUUUGAGCCAUCUCUUACGACAAAGUUUCCAUCAUCAAGAAGUACUGCUUCUGCUGUACUAGUAUUCGACAUUGAAGAUGCAAGAGCUGCUGACCAAAGUGUUUUGGUGGAAUUCGUCAGCAAGACAAGAUUGCCAUCAGAUAACAAUUCAAGCUUCGAUGAAGCAGGGUCGUUGGAAGGGCUCUCCCUAUUUGCUACCAUAUUCCCAGGUAAAUGUUUACUGAAGUGCCUGGCUUGAAGAAACCGAGUUCAAAAAUGCCGUUUUGAGAUAUUAGGGUCUCGCUUGCAGAGAGAGAUUGGCCAACCAAAAGGGUAUCACCUACAAUGGAGAAGCAAGUCCUAUGGGAAACGAAUAGCAACAACAGCACAAAGAGCAAAAAACGUGGCUUUGUCUUAACACACAUCCUCUCUAGUUCGUGGGAUUAAGGGUGAAAGAGCUGUGACUGAGCACGAAUCAGAGAACGAGGAAGGGAAAAAAACAAGAAAUCCCUUGUGAAUUCAUCAACUAUAUGAUAAUGCUCGAGAUCUCUUGUCAUAUUGUAGCUGUCAGCUCUUAGCAAUAAUUUUCCACAUUGACUUGGACUUUUCUGUUCUCGCUAUCCCCUCCAAUUAGAGGCUAUGCCAUUUAUUUUUUGAGUCAUGUAAUGCCGAAAUGUGGGUUGAAUUGUCAAAUAACAGUAAAAAUAUCAAUAAUAUAAGGCAUUGAGAAAUUUAUUUUUUUUUAAAUCUAGAACGUAAAAUGGAAAUUUCUAUACAAUAUAUUUUUGUUUAUUGUUUUUACUUAUAUUAAUUGAAAUUCAUGAUCUAGAUUCAGUUUCAAGUGUAUUAUAUGCUCUUAGUUUUUUAUUUUUAUUUUAAAAAAAAAAAAAUCAUUGGUGCUCUUGAGUUUCGUUGCCUCCGAAAAUUCGAGCCAUCCAGAAUCGGAUAUUUUUGGAUUCAUUUCACUGUGUAAUAGAAUAUUGCUAGGUUUUAAAUCCCUGUAAAUGAUUCGUAACUGUUGCUACCAAUUUUUUAUUUUAUUUUGGAAAAAAUUUCAAAAAACCCAAAAUAUAACAAAAAACUAAAAAAUAUAUUCUUCAAGUCUUUGCGUCGUCUGUAGUGUUUUUUUCUACGCGUUCUUGUUAACCCAGUUCAAAAAUGUCGUUUUCAAAUAUUAAUGUCUGUCUUCCAGAGAGAGACUGGCCACUCAAAAGGAUAUCAGCUCCAAUGGAAAAGCAAGUCUUGUGAGAAACGGAUAGCAACAAUAGCGCAAAAAGCAAGAAACCUGGCUUUGAACAAAAAAUCCCCUUUGAAUUUAGCAACUAUAAGAAUACUGUCUCUAACAUAUUGUUGCUAUCAGCUUUCCCUAUAAUUUUCGACGUUGACUUGGACUUCACGUUCGCACUAUCCCCUCCAAUUUAAGGCUUUGGCAUUGUAUUUUUUGAGUCACAUAAUCAAUAAUAUAAUGCAUGAAAGAAAGAGAAAUUUAGAUUUUUCAAAGCCAGAAACUUAUAAAUGAGAAAUUCUAUAUAGAAUAAUUUAAUUAGUGUAUUGUAUUUUUUGAGUCACAUAAUCAAUAAUAUAAUGCAUGAAAUAAAUAUGUAUAUUGAUUAUACGAUGAGUACGCCUAGUUAAUUUCUUGAAUAUUUAUAUAUUUUAUUUUAUUUUUCGAGUACUCAUUUAUUCUUGAAUUUGCACUCGUAAUCUGUCGAACUAAAUUUCAUUUGAUAUAAUAUACGUUCUUUGAUCAUUCUAUGAAUAUUUAUUAUGUCUUGUAGAACUUGUCGAUAACUCGAUUCUAAAAUAUCAUAUUGUUGUUUUAAUGUUUAAUAUAGGUCCAAAGCUUUAUUAGAAUAUUGUAUAACAACGCAAAGUCGCAUCGUUAGGGUGGAGACUAGGAAAGUAAUCAAAUAAAAUUCAAGCAGGAAGAAAAAGAAAGGGGGAGUAUAUGAAAGCUCCCAACAUGUCCAAGAAGAUGGAGGGAGUCGCUGUGGCAACUCCUUAAUUUUGUUCAACACCCCCUCAGCAAAACCAGUUAUUCAGGCCCUCUAUGCAAUCAGGGUGACGAGCUGCUUGGAAGGAAGGAAGGAAGGAAGGUAUUGGGCCCAUUUAGCCUACUCAACCGCUUCAAGCCUUCAGCUAAAGGGACAGCUAAAGGCUUUUCUAGCCUUGGCAACAACAUCUAGUCUGAAUUCUGAUAGAUAUAAGCAAUUGGUGUCUUGAAGAGUUUGUUUGGUGCACAGGCAGCAGUCGAGUUAUCAGCAUCUGACGGGCUAAUUAUGUGGUAUUAUAAGAUGAAUUUGUACUCAAAGGAAAAUGAGUUUUUAAUAUAUUUAAGAUCUGAAUUAAAUGUGUUCUAUGAACACUUGAUUUGACGUUGUUCAUGUUUCAAUACAAAGAAAAUAAUAGGAAAAACAGAAACAAACAAUUGUACGAUUCAAAUCGGAGAACUUAUACAAAUAAGCUUGAUCUAAGCUCCAAACUCAUAGCUUCCUCGCUCUGAUAUUGAAGUAGCUUCAUGUCCUUUAGACCUCUUGAUGAAAAAACUAUCUCCCAUCUAUCGCCGUUAUUGUCAUAUUAUUCACGGAAGGUACCCCAGAAGAUCUCAUCAAUGUUCUUUGUUCUGCCACGUUUCUGCCUGCAACAAAAGCAGGUUGCUUAGGUUCUGGGAGAGCCACGUGUUCGUUUACGAUCAUGGAUAUAACAUCAGACAUUGUAGGCCGAUCAGCAGGACUUUCCUGGACACAAAGAAGCCCUAUGUUUAUGUAUCUCAACAGCGUAGCUGUUGAAGGAGGAUCUCCCAGGCUUGGAUCCAUCAAGUCCGAAGCUUUAUUAGAAUUCCAUAACUUCCAUGCCUAUGGUAUAACAACGCAAAUGCUGCAUCAUUAGUGUGGAAACUAGGAAAGUAGUCAAAUACAAAUCAAUAUGGAAGAAAAAGAAAUAAGCGUAUAUGAAAGCUCCCCACAUGUCCAAGAAGAUUGAGGGAGUCGCUGUGGUAGAAACUAGUAUUCUUCCUGCCGCUUACAAUCUCAAGUACCAGCACCCCGAAGCUAAACACAUCAGAUUUUAUCGAGAAGAGGCCCUCCAUAGCAUAUUCAGGGGACAUAUAGCCACUAAAAAUUGGAAAGGUCAGUGCAGAUCAUGUUAAGAGUAGCUGGUACUGGAAAGUGGAAUUCAAGAAACUUACUAUGUUCCAACGAUCCUGUUGGUGUUUGCUUGAGUUUCAUUGCCUCCGAAAAUUCGAGCCAUCCCGAAAUCGGAUAUUUUUGGAUUCAUUUCACUGUCUAAUAGAAUGUUGCUAGGCUUUAAAUCCCUGUGAAUGAUUCGUAACCGUGAAUAUCUAUGUAGAUACAGAAGGCCUUGAGCAAUUCCUUCAAUUAUCCGAAUCCGUGUUCCCCAAUCUAAGAUUUGCCCUCUGUUUGCAUCUGUUUAUGUUUUAUACUCAAAUCUGUUAUAAAUUUCUUGAAGCAUUUGGAAAGUUAAUGAAAGUUAAUGCAAGAAAAUGCUGACCAAAGAGAAAGAAAUCCAAGCUUUUAUUUGGCAUGUACUCAUAGAUUAGCAUUUUCUCAUCCCGUUCAAUACAGGAACCUAAUAGCCUGACAAGAUUCCGGUGCUGGAGUUUGGCGAUUAGAAUUGUCUCAUUUCUGAACUCCUCAAGCCCCUGCCCAGAUCUUUCUGAAAGCCUCUUCACUGCUAUUUCCAGUCCCUUGGAUAAUUUUCCCUAUUAAAUGAACCAAAAGUAAUUCUGAAAGUUCAUUCAAACUAUUUUAAUUUUUUUCUGAAAAGGUUAGAAUAAUCAUUUGAACGUAUCUUACCUUAUAAACAGGUCCAAAUCCUCCCUCUCCAAGCUUGUCUGAGAAUUGUCCAGUUGCAACUGAUACGCUCUCAUAACUGAACAAUGGCAAUUCCAUAUUCUUACUCCAUCUAUUCUUCCGAUUGUCAACAGAGCUAGAUUCUUUGUUAGUUGAGCUAGGAUCGGUAUCGAAAUCAAAGAGCAAUAAAUCGUGACCUGUAUAUUCCUUCCCUGUUCAUGAAAAAAUUAAAAAUUACUGAACACAAUCAGUUUGUUAAAAUAUCCAGCAAUUCUGAUUAUAUCAACCAAAAAUGUAACCACUUCAGGUUAUAAUAACCACAAUUUCCGACAUUAAAAGGGAUUCCAAUUGUCAAUUCUUUUCAUGAAAAAAGAAACUUUGGUGUUUGUUUGGGGUUAGAUAUUUUACCCAUAGACAACCUUUUACGUUUUGAACAUUUUAUAUGAGAAGUUUUACUGAGCUCGGUAAGUAAUGAUGUGGAGACAAACACACGAAAAGAACGCAAGGCAUUCUCUGGCUUUAUAAAAGCCGGAGAAAGGGCAUGACGAGGAGGGAGGGAAAAAGACACGAACAAGAAAAGAACGAACGGAGAGAAAAACCAGAGAAGCACAGGAUAGAGAGAGAGAGAGAGAGAGAGAGAGAGAACCAGAGACACAGACAUGGAGGAACAAACAGGGCGAACCAGCACGGAAACAGGGACGCAAAACACAAAAUAAAACAGAGAGGAAACCAAAAGAACAAGCAAACACAGGAGACAAAGUAAACACAGACAGAACAAAAGGAGAAGAACGAAUAACACAGAGACGAGACGAAGAGCAGGAGACAGACAAAAAAAAAGAGCCGGGAAGAGCAGGCUAAGGAACAGAGGAGAGGGGAGGCCAAUAGCAGAAAGACGAGCACCGAUCUUCUUCCAGAACUCCAGCAACAAAACAUCACCUCCAGGUAAUCUUUCUUAUUCGGUUGGUUUUUAUAUAUAUAUAUAUAUAAAAUAAUAAUCAAAUUGAAAUUUUUUUAAAAAAAAAUACCGAAACUGGUUCCAACCGACCGGUUUCAUUUCGGUACGGUUUAUUAGGACAAAAACCAGUUCAAAGCAGUUUGGCUCGGUUUUUUUUAGUUUGGGUUCGGUUCGGGUUUUUUAGUUUUUUUCUUAUGAAACUGAAACCGAACCAAACCGGCCGGCUUUUUUAAAAUUUUAAUCGGUUUAAUCUGUUUUUUUUACGGUUUGAUUUUUUUAGUUAUUUUUUUCCAGUUUUUUCUGUUUUUUAGUUUUUUUGCUCACCCCUAACAGUGACCAGCCGGGUCACUGGUUUGUGCCAGUGACCAGUUGGGCAGGACUUAUGCCAGUGAUCAUGCCAGGCUGAUUAAGUUCAGUUCAUACGAGAUGAACUAGAUCUAAAAAAAAAGAAAAACCUGAGGUCAGGCUGGAUCUAGGUUCAACCCAUCCAAUCCAAUUUGUUUUUGGUCAAGGGUGUGUUUUUAAAAACACUUUCUUAUGCUAAUCUUGUUUAUUUUAUUUAUUUGUUUUGAUAUUUGGUCAAACAAACUUCUUUUUUGUAUUAGAAAAUUUUAAAAAAAUUUGUGGACUUUUUUUAAUUUAUUUGUAGGUCCCUAGAGUAUUUGUUUUCUUAACAAUUUCAUUAUAUAUUUAAUUUGUAGAUUUUUACUGUGAAAUACGAAUUUUGUAUACGAUACAUACUUUUUUUUUUUUUUUACAAAAAUAAUAACAAAAAAAAAUAUAUUUCUUGUUAUCAAUUUAAAUUUUACUGGUUUAUUCACUAAGACCAGACUCAGGAAUACUAUACAAUUUUUGACUGCGUAAUAUUUACCAAUACUAGAAUUAAAAAUAUCCAUAAUUGAAUAUUUGCUAAUGCUAGAAUCAUGAAUAAUACAAGCAGACAAUCGGUAAUAUAGUAUAACAAACUUUAGUAAUUUCAAAUAAAAUCAAUAAAAAAGUAUAUUUUAGGUAGAAUGUUAAAAAAGUGAUAAUAUUGUUUUUUUUUUCAACUAGUUUCAUAUUAAAAAGUUUUUAUUGAUCCAUUAGGAUUUUUAAUAAUAAUAAUAAUAAUAAUAAUAGAUGAUGAUUUUUUAAUCUAAAAAGUAAAAUGUCAAAAAACAUGUUCUUUUCAGCAAAUUAAAAUUUUAAAAGUUACCAUAUCGAUACGAUAACCAGUAACUUCAAGAUUUAAUUAAAUUAAGUCUACCAGCAGACAACGGAAAUUAAAGAAAGAACAAGGGAUGUACCUCUGUGUAUGAGCUUUCCUUUGCGCAGACAUCUGAAGUACAUGAAGAGGCCGAAGGUAAUCAGAGUAGUUGGAAUAGCCACAGCCAAGGUUGUCCGUAGUGUCCCUUUGAUAUUACCUACUUGUAAAUAUAGAGAUCAAAUAUUAAAAAAUCAUAAACCAACACCUGUACACUGGAUUAAGAAGUUUUUUUAUUGUAGAAAAAAAUGGAAAGAUAGGUCAUGUAUCUCACUUUUUUCGACAGGGAACACUGCGUCUGCGUUUUUAUAUGAAAAUACAAGACCGUGAUUUUGUCAAAAAUGGUUCUCGUCAUUUAUUGGAUCAUAUUGUCUAUAUGUACAAAGCCAUACCUGUUCGGGUACUGCCAUUACCAAUCUGUAGUUCAGGCUCAGAAGCAGCAAGUCUGAUGUAAAUUUCUGCUCCAGCGAGGCCAUCAGCAACCCCUGGAUGUUGUUGUAAGUUUAUAAGAUCUCCUUCCCAUAAAGAACACCCACUGUUCUUGUUAUAGGCAUAAGCCACGCAAGAACAAAUUUCCAUGCAAUCCAAUCUACAUCUUUCAGCACUCACUUUCUGAUAUGUUUUUGAAUUUGCAGGUAAUGUCAGAUUCGAAAUCUUUAGGAAUCCAUCUUCCUUUCCAACACUUCUCUUAUUUUGACACUGCAAAGGAGAUUUCCUAACACAACCACUUGACCAAUCAUUUUGCACUAAUGGUUUAAAACCUUUCAGGCAUUCACAAGAGCUCGAUGAAUUUUCAUUAAAGACUCCAAAAAAACCACAUAAACCAUAAACACCAGCUUGGUCUCUUGGUUGGGACCAAAACAUAGUCCAAUUCAAAACACCUUCCAACGAAGUGAGUUGUUUGAUCUGUCCUGAAACAUCAAUCACGGUUCUUGAAAGAGUUGAGGUAUUGUACAAAGAAAAGGUGAAAUAGCUUUCAUUUUCAUUUGAUACAUGACUAAACUUUAAAAUAUUGUUCAAUCUCAUCUCAGGCACCAAGGCAAAUAUUUCUCCAUCCCAAUCACCACUGCUCCAAUACCUGUGUGACCUGUUCCACUCUAUGAAAAGCUGACUGCUUCCAUUUGGGUCGAUCCCAAUCGAGAACAUACCUGGUGCAGGAUCUUCUGAGUUUUUCCAGGAAAUAAGCCGCUGCACUUGCCCAGUGUGCUUGUUGAUUCCAAGCUUUCCACCAGGUAGCCAUGUGUCAGUUGGAUAAUCGAAACUCUGCCAAUAUAUGGUAGGUGGAUUUGAGCCAUCUCUUACGACAAAGUUUCCAUCAUCAAGAAGUACUGCUUCUGCUGUACUAGCAUUCGACAUUGAAGAUGCAAUAGCUGUUGACCCAACUGUUUUGGUGAAAUUCAUCAGCAAGACAAGAUUGCCAUCAGCUGACAAUUCAAGCUUCGAUGAAGCUGGGUCGUUUGAAGGGCUCUCCCUGUUUGCUACCCAAACAAUCAUCUUAUUUGCGAAGUUCUUAUACCAUAUUCCCAGGUAAAUGUUUACUGAAGUGCCUGGCUUGAAGAAACCGAGUUCAAAAGUGCCGUUUUGAGAUACUAGUGUCUGGCUCGCAGUGAGAGAUUGGCCAACCAAAAGGGUAUCACCUACAAUGGAGAAGCAAGUCCUAUGGGAAACGAAUAGCAACAACAGCACAAGGAGCAAAAAACGUGGCUUUGUCUCAACACACAUCCUUUCUAAUUCGUGGGAUUAAGGGUGAAAGAGCUGUGACUGAGCAUGAAUCAGAGAAAGAGGAAGGGAAAAAAACCAGAAAUCCCCUUGUGAAUUCAUCAACUAUAUGAUAAUGCUCUAGAUCUCUUGUUAUAUUGUAGCUGUCAGCUCUGACCAAUAAUUUCCCACACUGACUUGGACUUGAAUUCAUCCGCUAUGCCAUUUGUUUUUUGAGUCAUGUAAUGCUGAAAUGUGGGUUGAAUUGUCAAAUUACAGUAAAAAUAUCAAUAAUAUAAGGCAUUGAAGAAAGAUAAUUUUUUUUUUUGAAAUUUAGAACUUAAAAUGGAAAUUUCUAUACAAUAUAUUUUUGUUUAUUGUUUUUACUUAUAUUAAUUGAAAUUCAUGUUCUAGAUUCAGUUUCAUAUGUGUACUAUAGCUCUUAGUUUUUUUUUAUUUUUUGAUAAAAUAAAUCAUUGGUGCUUUAGAGUGUUUUUAUUUUAUUUUAAAAAUUGUAUCGAGAAAGAGUAGAAAAAGAGAAAGGGGGUGUUUAAUAAUAAGGUGCAUGUUUAUUUUAAAGGCUAAAAUAAUAUUUUUAAAAAUUAAAUUUUUUGCUUGAAGCUAUUUUUUAAAAUUAUUAUGAUGUGUUGGUAUCUAAAAUAAUUUUUAAAAAAUAAAAAAAUAUUAUAUUAAUAUAUUUUCAAGUAAAAAAUAAUUUUUAAAACAAUUAUUAAUUUUAUUUUUCUCAUUGUCUAUUUUAAUUUAUUACUCUUUUUUUUUAAGAGGAUUUUUUCACUAAACAAUUACCACAGUAAUAGUAGACUUCAAAUGUCUAUUAAUAAUUAAUAAAGUUUCAUUGUAUUCUUUGGGUGCAUAUUAGGAUUUAGGACUAUUAUUAAUUAUAGUCCAUUUCAAAGUCAAAGAUGAAUACAUAUUGUAUUCAAAACAGGACCAACCCAUCACACACUCACUUUUGAAUAAAACUUUACGUGGAAUAUAUAUCUGAAAUACAGCAGGAAGGAAAAAUGCAAAACGGCGCGUACGUAAACGGCACGUAUGUUUCUUGGUCAUGCUAAGAAAAAAAUCGACACUUUCUUUAUCAUUACAAGCUAUUAUUUUCUUUCUUUUGAAAAGCAAAUUUACUGUCAAAUUUAGCUGAUGCCAGGUCGGAGAAUCCAUCAAAAUCCCACUGUAGCUUCUGCAUUAUCAAAUAUAUAAUAUAAAUGCAUCCAAAAACUAUCUGAGGUUAACAUAUAAGAAAAUCAAUUGUAUAAAACCCCAUCAGACAGAACAUCUCUUUUGAUGAAUGAGCGAUUUUUAUUUAUCAAAGAACGACUUAACAGGAAAUCAAGUUCUACUCACAGACAGAGAAUCUUGUAUAAGUUUAAGAUCUCCUCCUUAAGUUAUUGACCUAAAAAGACAAUGCCAGCUGGUGGGACAAUAUUUAUGACCACGAAAGCUCCAUUUCUGAAGACGCCCUCAGGAUUUUGGCGAGUCUAAAGAAGGGUUCUGAGGGAAGUGUGAAGCUAGCUGGCACCAAGCCAGCCAAUUAAUGCUACCUAAUGUGAAGCAAUUAAUGCUGCCAAAGUUAACAAAGUGAGCACCAAUUCGGUGCCACUUGCAGCACCAAUUGGUGCUCUUGUAUUUUGUAAGGCAAAGGCAAGGAAGCUUGCCUAUAAAUAGGCAGUGCAUCCUUGCCUUAUAAACACACCCAAGUAAGAGAGAAAGAAGAGAGAGUGAAGAGGGAAAGUAAUCCCAUAAAAUUGUAAGGUAUUUGUGAGAGAAUAAGUGAGGUGUUUUCUCCUAGUAAUAGAGAGAUUUUAGUUGUUCUUCUAUUAUUUGAGAGAGGUUGUAAUUCCCACAUUAGUUAGUAAAAUCCUUCUAUACUUGCCCGUGGACGUAGCCUAAUUGGGUGAACCACGUAAAUUCUUGCGUGUCUCAUUUCUCAUUUUAGCCUUUUGUCUUGUCGGGUUUGUAUGCCAGUAUCCUAACAGUGGUAUCAGAGCCUUCUUGGUUGGUGUUGUUAACACACAAAAGUUAUUCGUGUAUACGGUUACUAUUCACGUCUACGUCACUAUUCACCUAUACGACACUAUUCAUCCAUACGGUACUGUUCACUUACAUUACUGUUGACGUAUAUAGAAAGUCAGUGCGAUGAUUAAAUAUAUUCUAGGAAGUUAUAUCAAAGGAGAUUAGGUUUUAAGCGGGACCGUUUGUGCUCCAAUCUUUCCUGGGAACUUACUUAGUGAAGUAUUUUUCACACGAUACUAUUUCUAUAUACGUUACAGAUCUGUGAAACGGUGAUAGCUGAAUAGAUCACGGUGAAUAAAAUGGCAGCAAAGUACGAGAUUGAGAGGUUCAAGGGGAGCAAUUUCUCACUGUGGAAAAUGAGAAUCAAGGCAAUCUUAAGGAAAGACAAUUGCUUGGCAGCAAUUGGGGAUCGGCCCGCGGAGAUCAUUGAUGAUGCAAAAUGGAAUGAGAUGGAUGGCAAUGCUAUUGCUAACAUACAUUUAGCAUUAGCUGAUGAAGUAUUAUCAAGUGUGGCGGAGAAGAAAACAGCUAAGGAGAUAUGGGAGACUCUAACAAGCUAUACGAGUCCAAGUCUUUGCAUAAUAAGAUUUUCUUAAAGCGGAGACUUUAUACCCUUCGAAUGGCAGAAACCACGUCGGUGACUGACCACAUCAACACAAUAAGAACUCUAUUUUCACAACUCACUACGUUGGGUCAACAAAUAGAGGAAAUGAACGUGCAGAGCUUCUACUUCAAAGUCUUCCUGAUUCGUAUGAUCAGCUCAUUAUCAACUUGACCAAUAAUAUCCUCUCAGACUAUUUAGUCUUCGAUGAUGUUGCAGCUGCUAUCUUGGAAGAAGAAAAUAGGCGCAAAAACAAAGGAGACAGAAACAGUUCAAACCAAGCUGAGGCAUUGUUGGUUCAAGAGGAAGAUCAACGGAACGUGGCUCAGUGGGAGUCAAAGGCAGGGGAGGUCCAAAUCAAGAAGUAAGAAGAGGUGAAAUGCUACAACUGUGGCAGAAAAGGGCACUUCAAAAAGGAUUGUUGGUUUAAAAAGGGUAUAGAGAAUACUGCAGAGUCAUCAAAACCUCAAGGAUGUGUUGCAAGCACCUCAGAAGAUGGAGAGGUUUUAUAUAGUGAAGCAGCAACAAUCUCUACAGAUAGAGAAGAGCUCACUGAGGUCUGGCUAAUGGAUUCAGGAGCAACAUGGCAUAUGACUCCUAAUCGGGAUUGGUUCCAUACAUAUGAACCCAUGUCUGGAGGCACAGUGUUCAUGGGUGAUAAUCAUGUUUUAGAGAUUGAUGGCAUUGGCACCAUCAAAUUGAAGAUGUAUGAUGGCUUAAUUCGUACUAUUUCAGGAGUGCGACAUGUGAAAGACUUAAAGAAGAAUCUUUUGUCCGUAGGACAAUUUGAUAGUCUUGGCUGUAAGAUCCGAACAGACAAUGGAAUCAUGAAAAUUGUCAAAGGCGCGCUGGUGGUUUUAAAGGCAAGAAAGACAGUUGCAAACAUGUUUGUAUUAAUGGGAGAAACACAUCAGGGGCAGAAGCAUCAAUCGCAUCAGCCAGUCCUGCAGAAGAGAAGACGAUGAUGUGGCAUCAAAAACUAGGCCACAUGUCAGAGAAAGGUUUAAAGGUUCUCUCUGAUCAGAAGUUACUCCCUGGGCUUACAAAGGUUACUUUACCUUUUUGUGAGCACUGUGUUACAAGUAAACAACACAGGUUGAAGUUUGGCACGUCAACAACUAAGAGCAAAUGCAUCUUAGACCUGAUUCACUCUGAUGUUUGGCAAGCACCGGUUGUAUCCUUGGGAGGAGCAAGAUACUUUGUAUCAUUCAUAGAUGACUUCUCCAGGAGAUGUUGGGUGUAUCCGAUUAGAAGGAAGGCAGAUGUGUUCGCAGUUUUUAAAACCUUCAAAGCGCGGGUAGAACUUGAAUCUGAAAAGAAGAUCAAGUGUUUGAGGACUGACAAUGGAGGAGAAUAUACCAGUGAUGAAUUUGAUAACUUCUGUCAACAUGAAGGUAUCAAAAGGCAGUUCACAACGGCAUACACUCCACAACAAAAUGGAGUGGCAGAGCGGAUGAACAGAACUCUAUUGGAAAGAACAAGAGCAAUGUUGAAGGCUGCAGGUCUAGAAAAGUCAUUCUGGGCAGAAGCAGUCAAUACCGCCUGUUAUGUGAUAAAUCGAUCUCCGUCAACUGCAAUUGAGUUGAAGACACCGAUGGAGAUGUGGACUGGAAAGCCAGCUGAUUAUUCUCGAUUGCAUAUAUUUGGAAGUCCUGUGUACGUGAUGUACAAUACUCAAGAAGUCAGCAAGCUGGAUUCAAAAUCCAGAAAAUGUGUAUUCUUGGGAUAUGCUGAUGGAGUGAAGGGGUAUCGCUUGUGGGAUCCCACUGCCCACAAGGUAGUCAUCAGCAGAGAUGUCAUAUUUGCAGAAGAUAAAAUGCAAAUGGAAGAAAAUAAUAGCAUUUUAAAGGAGACUACAGAAGUCCAGAUGGAAAAUACUCAGAAUCAUACUUCUUCUGAAGCUGCACCAGAGCAUGAAGAACAAGAACAAAUAGAGUCUGAAACUCCUGAAGUUCGACGGUCAACUCGUGAAAGAAGACCACCGGCUUGGCACUCAGAAUAUGUUACUGAGAGCAACAUUGCAUACUGUCUUCUAACAGAGGAUGGAGAGCCAUCAACUUUCCAUGAGGCUAUCAAAAGCACAGAUGUAUCUAUGUGGAUGACAGCAAUGCAAGAGGAGAUUGAAGCUCUGCACAAGAAUAACACUUGGGAUCUUGUUCCGCUACCACAAGGAAGAAAGGCCAUUGGCAACAAAUGGGUUUACAAGAUAAAGCGUGAUGGCAAUGAUCAAGUGGAGCGGUAUCGUGCAAGAUUGGUGGUGAAAGGAUAUGCUCAGAAAGAAGGAAUAGACUUUAAUGAGAUAUUUUCUCCGGUGGUACGACUUACUACAAUCAGAGUAGUCUUGGCAUGUGUGCUAUAUUUGAUCUUCACUUAGAGCAGUUAGAUGUGAAAACUGCAUUUCUUCAUGGAGAACUUGAAGAAGAAAUUUAUAUGCUCCAACCAGAGGGUUUUGCUGAAACAGGCAAGGAGAACUUGGUUUGCAGGUUGAACAAAUCUCUAUACGGUCUCAAACAGGCGCCGAGGUGUUGGUACAAGAGAUUUGAUUCCUUCAUAAUUAGCCUUGGGUACAACAGACUCAGUUCAGACCAUUGUACGUAUUACAAGAGGUUUGAAGAAAAUGAUGUUUUCAUCAUUCUGUUGUUGUACGUGGAUGACAUGUUGGUAAUAGGCCCCAACAAAGAUCGAGUCCAAGAAUUGAAGGCACAGUUGGCUAGGGAGUUUGAUAUGAAGGACUUGGGACCAGCAAACAAGAUUCUAGGGAUGCAAAUUCACCGAGACAGAAGUAAGAGGAAGAUUUGGCUUUCUCAGAAGAAUUAUUUGAAGAAGAUCUUGCGACGCUUCAACAUGCAAGAUUGUAAGCCAAUUUCCACCCCACUUCCUAUUAACUUCAAAUUAUCCUCAAGUAUGUCUCCUAGCAAUGAAGCAGAGAGGAUGGAGAUGUCUCGAGUACCGUAUGCAUCAGCAGUGGGAAGUUUAAUGUUUGCCAUGAUAUGUACAAGACCAGACAUUGCACAAGCAGUGGGAGCAGCUAGUCGAUACAUGGCAAAUCCUGGUAGAGAGCAUUGGAAUACUAUUAAGAGGAUCUUGAGAUACAUCAAGGGUACCUCAGAUGCCGCAUUAUGUUAUGGAGGAUCAGAAUUUACUGUCAGAGGUUAUGUUGAUUCAGAUUUUGCUGGUGACCUUGAGAAAAGAAAAUCCACUACAGGCUAUGUGUUCAUAAUUGCAGGAGGAGCUGUGAGCUGGGUCUCUAAACUUCAGACUGUUGUAGCGUUAUCCACAACAGAAGCUGAGUAUAUGGCAGCUACACAAGCUUGUAAAGAAGCAAUAUGGAUGAAGAAACUUAUGGAGGAGCUCGGGCACAAACAAGAGAAGAUUCUUUUGUAUUGUGAUAGUCAGAGUGCCUUGCAUAUUGCAAGGAAUCCAGCGUUUCAUUCAAGAACAAAACAUAUAGAUGUUCAGUAUCACUUUGUUCGCGAAGUGGUGGAAGAUGGAAGUGUGGAUUUUCAGAAGGUUCACACAAAGGAAAACCCAGCAGAUGCUUUGACCAAACUAGUCAACACUGACAAGUACAUAUGGUGCAGAUCCUCUUAUGACCUAGCAGAAACGUAAGCAGCAUGAAGAUGGCAAGUAUUGAAAGGAUAGAAGAAUCACAAAUGAUCAAGUGUGAAGACUUGAUUAAAUCAUCAAAGUCUUCAAGUGGGAGAAUGUGAAGCUAGCUGGCACCAAGCCAGCCAAUUAAUGCUACCUAAUGUGAAGCAAUUAAUGCUACCUACUAGCACCAAUUGGUGCUGCCAAAGUCAACAAAGUGAGCACCAAUUGGUGCUGCCAAAGUCAACAAAGUGAGCACCAAUUCGGUGCCACUUGCAGCACCAAUUGGUGCUCUUGUAUUUUGUAAGACAAAGGCAAGGAAGCUUGCCUAUAAAUAGGCAGUGCAUCCUUGCCUUAUAAACACACCAAGUAAGAGAGAAAGAAGAGAGAGUAAAGAGGGAAAGUAAUCCCACAAAAUUGUGAGGUAUUUGUGAGAGAGUAAGUGAGGUGUUUUCUCCUAGUAAUAGAGAGAUUUUAGUUGUUCUUCUAUUAUUUGAGAGAGGUUGUAAUUCCCACAUUAGUUAGUAAAAUCCUUCUAUACUUGCCCGUGGACGUAGCCUAAUUGGAUGAACCACGUAAAUUCUUGCGUGUCUCAUUUCUCAUUUUAGCCUUUUGUCUUGUCGGGUUUGCAUGCCAGUAUUAGAAUUCCAUAACUUCCAUGCCUAUGGUAUAACAACGCAAAUGAUGCAUCAUUAGUGUGGACACUAGGAAAGUAGUCAAAUACAAAUCAAAAUGGAAGAAAAAGAAAUAAGCGUAUAUGAAAGCUCCCCACAUGUCCAAGAAGAUUGACGGAGUCGCUGUGGUAGAAAUUAGUAUUCUUCCUGCCGCUUACAAUCUCAAGUACCAUCACCCCGAAGCUAAACACAUCAGAUUUUAUCGAGAAGAGGCCCUCCAUAGCAUAUUCAGGGGACAUAUAGCCACUAAAAAUUGGAAAGGUCAGUGCAGAUCAUGUUAAGAGUAGCUGUUACUGGAAGGUGGAAUUCAAGAAACUUACUAUGUCCCAACGAUCCUGUUGGUGUUUGCUUGAGUUUCGUUGCCUCCGAAAAUUCGAGCCAUCCCGAAAUCAGAUAUUUUUGGAUUCAUUUCACUGUCUAAUAGAAUGUUGCUAGGCUUUAAAUCCCUGUGAAUGAUUCGUAACCGUGAAUAUCUAUGUAGAUACAAAAGGCCUUGAGCAAUUCCUUCGAUUAUCCGAAUCCGUGUACCCCAAUCUAGGAUUUGUCCUCUGUUUGCAUCUGUUUAUAGUUUAUACACAAAUCUGAUAUAAAUUUCUUGAAUGAUUAAAAUGGUAUUAGAAUGAUUAAAAUGUUUUAUGGUGAUGAGAUGGUUGUGAUAGUGAUUACUGAUUAUGAUUAUAGUGGUAAUAAAGGUUCAGGUGGGGAUGGAGGGGUGGUGGUGGUGGUUGUGAUAAUUGUGGUAUGAUGAUGGCGGCAGUAGCAACAAGGAUGGUAGCAGACACCGCGUUAGUAGUUACAGUGGAGGUCCUGGCAGCAAGGUAGUGGUGGUUGAAAUCAUUGCAUGAUAUUGUGAGUAGAUCAGUGUUAGUAAAAUAUUUUAUAGAAAUUUGUAAGGUGAAAAUUACUUUUAAGUUUAAUGAUAAACUGUAAAUUUUAAGGGAAACAAGUCUCUAUUUCAACAAGUCUCUAGUGAAUAUCAUAUAUAUAUAUUUCAGUGAAACUCUUAACACAAAACAGUCUCUAUUUCAACACACACACACACACAAAACUAACUCCAACAAAAUGAACCUUAUUAUCUGCAUAGCUAACACAUAAUCACAAAGCAGGGCUUUUUCGUACUUUUCAUCACUUUAACUUAAGGGUUAAUUAAGUCUACCAGGAGACAGCAGAAAUUAAAGCAAGAACAGGAUGUACCUUUGUGUAUGAGCUUUCCCUUGCGCAGACAGCUGAAGUAUAUGAAGAGGCCUAAGGUAAUCAGAGUUACUGGAACAGCCACAACCAAGGUUACCCAUAUUAUCCUUCUGAUAUUACCUACUUGAAAACAUAGAUCAAAUAUUAACCAAAUCAUAAACCAACACAUUUACAAUUAAAAGUUUUUUUGAAGUAGAAAAAAAUGGAAAGAUAGGUUAUGUAGGGACAUUGCGUCCACCCUUUUAUCUGGAAAGACUACACCUUAUUUUGUGAAAAAUAGUUGCUCAACAUUUAUUGGAUCAUUUAUGGCUAUAUAGAUACAACCUUUUUACCAUACCUAUUCCGCUACUCCCACUACCAGUCUCAAGUUCAAGCUCAGAAGCAGCAAAUCUGAUGUAAAUUUCUGCUUCAGUCCUGCCACCAGCAACCUCUGCCCGUUGUAAGUUUAUAAGAGCUCCAUCCCAUAAAAGACACUCACCAUUAUUAUCAUUAUAGGCAUAAGCCAUGCAAGAACAAUUUUCAAUGCAAUCCAAUUUGCAUCUUUCAUAACUCACUUUCUGAUAUGCUUUUGAAAUCCCUGUAAAUGAUUCGUAAAAACCCAUCAUUUGACACUGCAAUAUUUUUCCUAUGUUGACAAUGCAAAGGAGACAUCCUAAGGCAACCGCUUGACCAAUCAUUUGCUACAAAUGGUCUAAAACCUCUGAGACAUCCACAAGGAGUUGAUGAAUUUACAUGAAAGACUCCAAAAGCCCCGCAUAAACCAUAAACAUCAGCUGGGUCCCUUGGUUGAGACCAAAAAAGAAACCAAUCCCCAAAAUCUCCCAAAGAACUGAAUUGUUUGAUCUGUCCUGAAACAUCAAUCACUGUUCUUGAAAGAACUGAGGUAUUGUACAAAGAAUAGGUGAAAUAGCUUUCAUUUUCAUUUGAUACAUAACUAUAAUUGAAAAUAUAGUUCAAUCUCAUCUCAGGUACCAAGGUAAAUCUUUCUCCAUUCCAAUCACCACUGCUCCAAUACCUGUGUGACAUGUUCCACUCUAUGAAAAACUGACUACUUCCAUUUGGGUCGAUCCCAAUCGAGAACAUACCUGGUGCAGGAUCUUCUGGGUUUUUCCAUGAAAUAAGCCGCUGCACUUGCCCAGUGUGCUUGUUGAUUCCAAGCUUUCCACCAGGAAGCCAUGUGUCAGUUGGAUAAUCAAAACUCUGCCAGUAUAUGGUAGAUGGAUUUGAGCCAUCUCUUACGACAAAGUUUCCAUCGUCAAGAAUUACUGCUUCUGCUUUACUAGUAUUCGGCACUGAGGAUGCAAGAGCUGUUGACCAAACUGUUUCGGUGAAAUUUUUCAGCAGGACAAGAUUGCCAUCAGAUAACAAUUCAAGCUUCGAUGAAGCAGUGUUGUUGGAAGGGCUCUCCCUAUUUGCUACCCAAACAAUCGUCUUAUUUGCGAAGUUCUUAUACCAUAUUCCUAGGUAAAUGCUUAAAGAAGCGGCUGGCUUGAAGAAACCGAGUUCAAAAAUGCCGUUUUGAGAUAUUAGAGUUUGGUUUGCAGAGAGAGAUUGGCCAACCAAAAGGGUGUCAUCUCCAAUUGAGAAGCAAGUCCUAUGGUAAACGAAUAGCAACAAAAGCAGAAAGAGCCAGAAACAAGGCUUUGUCUUAACACACAUCCUCUCUAAUUUGUGGGAUUAUGCGUGUAAGAAAUGUAACUGAGAAUGAACCAGAGAACGAGGGAUGAAAACAAAGAAGAAAUCCCUUGCGAUUUCAACAAGUAUACGAAAGCUUUCUUUGAUCAUAUUGUUGCUACCAACUCUCCCUGCAAUUUUUCACUUUGACUACGGCAUUUCACGUUUUAGUCAUGUGAUGACGACAUGUGGGUUGAAUUGUCAAAUUACAUUGAGAAUAUCACUAAUAUAAGGCAUUAAAGAAACUUUAAAAUGAAAACUUUUAUAUGGUAUGUUUUUUGUUUUUUGUUUAUUGUUUUUACUUAAAACCAUGUCCAAAACACGCUUGUCUUCAAAGUUAUUCUAUAUAUUCUUACAUGAAUAAAUUCUGUAUAUUUCGCUCAUCUUAAGGUAUUACCUUUUUUAAUUUAUUAUUCUUUGUUUCUUAAGAAAAAAAUCUCACAUAGUCAAAUAAAACCACGUGCAGAAACAACCACAGUAGUAGUCAACUUUAAUUAUUGAAAUGCCUGUUCAUAAUAAAGUUCGAUUAGAGCGUGUUAGAUUUAGGACCAUUAUUACAGGACCUUUGAAAGUCAUUGAUAAAUAUAUGUAGUUAAAGUAGUCUGUCGUAUGUGUAAAAAAUCUCAAAUUUAGUUAAUGCCAGCACAGAGAAUCCAUCAAAUUCCCACUCUAGCUCUUGCAUCAUCAAAUAUCUAAUAUAGCAUCCAGAAACCAAAAAUCAUAUAACAAAACAGGAAUUUUUCUUUUGAUGAAAGAAGGAUUUUCAUUUAUCAAAGAACAACUUGACAGGAAAAUUCUACUUUCAAACAUAGAAUCUUUUGCGAGGACGUACAAAACAAGCAAACAUACGUGCUAUUGUCAGAUAUCUAGUGGCAACUCCUUGAUUGUGUUCCUUGCAAACAUAAUAAAUGUAACCACACCAGGCAAUCUUCAACGUGACAGCACCCCUUCUUAAGCAAAACCUGUUCGGUCCAAAGGAAUUCAGUAGACAAGUCACUUAGUUGUGGGAUUUUUCACUGAGCUGAGGCGGAUUCUACCAAAUUCCUUUAAUGAGAGGACUAUUUUCUAAGUUUAAGAUAUCUUAAAGAUACUGACGUAAAAAGAAAAUGUCAGCUAGCGGACAUUUAUGGCCACGAAAGCUCCAUUUAUGAAGACACUCUCGGGAUUUUAGUGAGUCUAAAGAAGGGUUUUGAGGGAAGGAAGAGGGGGGACUGAGGUGAAGAGAAGGGCUUUGUGUGUGUUUUGAUAGUCAAAAAAGAUUUGGACCACCAGUAUACCUUUAUGCACAAUAAAACGAUGUCUUAUGAGGACUGUUGACACUUCAUUUGGUCUUCGGUAAACCCUUAAAGAUUGAAACUUUAUUCUUCGUUAAAUACUAAAACAUCAAAUCCAUAGAGGAAAAUCACUCCUUUUUCCAAUUCUUGAAAGAAUACAUCCACUUGCAUGGGGGCAGGGGAGCUCAAAGACAUUGCAUACC
rnacentral:lncRNA from 1 species